rnacentral:lncRNA from 1 species
UCCAAAAGCUUGGGCAAAAACUUCCUUUUGGCAUUGUUCGUCUUCGCUUGCCAUGUUGGUACCUACACAAAUGUCCUUAGAAAUAGAAGGACAACCAAUGUUAGCAUAGUUUGGUGGUAAUCCCCUCACUUCGCUCCACACAACCUCUUUUUUUCCACUCUCGAAUUACCACCUCGCACUUCCUUCACUUCCUUACUCUUCUUAAUCUUUUGUCUCUCAUAAUUAUUUGGAUAGGAGUAGGUAGCCAUUUCUCUUAGCGGCUUGGGCAACAAGUAAGUCAUGAGACAAUUUCCCUAUUGGUCUCUUACAACAUUAGGCCAAUUUUCCAUGUUAGGAAGUUGAUGUUGUGCAAACCAAUCGGCGCUUAAGUAUACAUGACCGUAGGCCAAAGGAAGAAUAUCGCACCACACCUCCUCAUGGUAUUCAUAUUGGGAGAAGAUAACUUUUACCCUCUCGGUAACCUUGAACCCGUCCAAGAAGUAUGGAACAAGUAAAGGAUCAUGAAACAACCCCAAAUAGUCAACCAUGGAUGGAACGGUGUAGUUACUAUAGUACCUAUCAUUUAAUACAAUGAGGCAGCCCGGUAUCCCAAAAAUGGUCAUCUUUCCAGAGUGUACACUUCUUCUCGGAUUAACAUUAUAAAGUACACGAGUACCCCUCAGUUUUGGAGAUGCAUACCCUCUUCUUCUUGUUGGACAACCUCUACUAGAGCUAGUAUAACCAUUCACACUAUAUCGAUCUUGAUAAGAAGUACUACAAGGUGGAGAAUAUGAAUUUUCACACUCCUCACAUGUACUCUUAUCAUAGCUCUCAUAAGCUUUGUGAAUGAAAGGGUUAUACCUAACACAAAAUCUAGGUUCGGAGUGAGAAUUGUAAGAUUCCUCAUAUGCCCCAACGUCAUCAUAAGAUCCAUCAUGAGGUCCUACAUCAUCUCCAAGUUCCCCAUAAGUACUAGGAACUUCAUUCGCCUUAUUUUCUUCCUCAAAACCGUAACUCUCAAAUCUGCCCAAGUUUUGAUCAUGGCUAUUUUCAUAGCCUCUGCAAUCUCCUCAACUUUGUAGCCAUAAAAUCCCUCACUACAAUCAUAGUCUCCCAUGUUGUAGUUACAAUAAUCUCCGGCUAUCAAAGACAUGUUCCCCUUAUAUGACCUUUUAAACCUAGAAAAUGAACAAACAACAUUAGUAGUAAAAGCUCCUCACCCACACUCAUAUUCACUCACCUUUGUGAUCCUCACAAUUUAGAGUGGGGAUUAUUGAAAGUUGCUUAUACUCCAAUAGUCAAUAAGAUGUCAAUUCUACUUGACGGACGAAAUAGAUUCUUGUUUGAUCGACUCAAGACACAAAAUAAAUCUAAUUACGAACUUGAAACAAAGAAGUUAUGACGAGUUAAAAAUAAGAAAGCAAAUAAAUAAUGAAGACAUGAAAGAAAUAGACUCAACAACUAAUCUACAACUAAGUAGGUGAUUAUUAGUUGCUAAUUAGUAUUAGAACCAACAACGAAACUAAGGGACAGUAAAAAUAAAACUAAGAAUAUAAAAUUUUGAGCUCGAAAAUAUUGCGUAAACAGUAACAGUGAUGAAAUGGCAGCCACGUAUUGGUUCGAUUUUAUGAAGUGGUUAUUCUUAAAUGUUCAAGUCGGUGUCAAAAAAUUAAUUUGGAUUGGUGGAAUUUGUUUUAGGAGGGAAAAUAAGUCUUUGGCCUUUUUCAAUUUCCAAGACUUGACUUUUUCUUGUACUUCUCCUUAAAACAUCGGUCCUUAAAUCAUGAAAAAGUGGUUGAGAAGUGAUAUAAAGUCUUUAUGUGGUUGGGGGUCUUUCAAGACUAACAAGUGCAUACACCUUUUUCCUUCUCCUUUUAGGAUCUAACAUUCACUUUAUGUUCUAACAAUAUAUGAAGGAAGGUGAAGAACUUCAAGAACAACAACAACCACAGCAAGAACAAUAACAACAAUCUUCAAGAACAACAAAAAUUCCAAAGGCCAACUCCAACCACAAUAACAAUAUCUCCAACACUUGGACAAGACAACUACAACUUCAAUAAAAUGGUUCUCAAGCCACCAAGUAACAACAAUAUCACGUGGUCAAGUUUAGAACAUCAAGGAGAAACCAUACAACCAAAAUAGUCCACCACAACAAUGGUCAACAACAAUGGGCGAAGCUUAUGUUCACAAUAACAACUUUCAACAAGCUCAAGUUUAGAUCUAGACUCAAAGUGUUAGUGGACAACAAAACUAACACUAGAAACAAAAAAAAAUGAACACUACUAGAUCUAGUCACACAACAAACAAAUCUCGGCCAAGACACAACAAGAACACAAUUUUGGCCAAGAACACAAACACGGAUAGAUUACUAUUUUUCUAGAAUUUUCAGUUUUUAAUACCUUUUGUUUUGAAUUUUUUAAUAAGCAAGCCCAAGAAUGAUCUUGUAGGAAAAAGAUCAAGCCAUGCUUUGAUACCAAAUGAUAUGGAAAACAAAGCUACAAACUGAAAUUAUAACUAAAGAGAGGAGAUGAAGGAUGAUAACAAUGACACAAGAUGAAACAAGACACGAAUUUAAACAAAGACAAGGGAAAUUGCAUAGAAAAUAAAGAUAGAUAGUGAGACCAAGAUUAUUACAAGAUUAAGAACCAAGUGUAUUUCAACACUAACCCCUAAUGAAUGUAAUAAUCAAAACCGCACUCUUACGGUGUCCGCCAAGGUAAUCGACUCACCUUAAGAUCCACCAUUUCCAAGCAAAGAACAAUAUUGGCUUUUCCAAGAUCUAUACUAAGGAUGACUUUUCCAAGUCCUAACUAAGACUAUACUAAGGUGGUCUACUCUCAAAAGAGAGGAUUUUCAAGUGUUUCAAUCUUUCAUCAUUCAAAACUAGUGAAAAUAAGACUAAAGGGGCCUAUUUAUAAUAUAUUAGAAAUAAAGAUAAAAAGACCAAUUUGCCCUUAAUGAGAGGGGCUGCCAUGGUGUGUAAUGUAUACAUAUGUAAUGUAUAAAAUAUCCCUAAUGAAGGGGAAGCCAAGUAAUGUAUUUUAUACAUUACAUAUUUUAUACAUAUGUAAUGUAUAAAAUAUCCCUAAUGAAGGGGAAGCCAAGUUAUGUUAUAACUUGAAUGAAUGGCGCCUUUUCAAUGCUCUAAAAAACUGAGUAUGGUUCAUACUUCAAGGCAUAUGGUUCUCGAGUUAGCAUCAAUAUAAGCAACCUUCUACACAUGAGAUUGCUUUAAGUCAUGCUCAAAAUGAUCCUUCCUUGCGUAUCCUUGUGCUCUCGGAGUGACCAAGUCUUGAUCCUUUAUGUAUUGGGCUUCAAAGAUGUCAUCAAAAGCUAAGGUGGCCAUUUGACUCGUAUCAUCCCAAAUGAUAUGGAAAACAAAGCUAAAAACUGAAAUUAUAACCAAAGAGAGGAGAUGAAGAUGAUAACAAUGACACAAGAUGAAAUAAGACACAGAUUCAACACAAACACAAGGGAAAUUGCACAAAAAUAAAGAUAGAUAGUGAGACCAAGAUUAUUACAAGUUUAAGAACCAAGUGUAUUUCAACACUAACCCCUAAUGAAUGUAAUAAUCAAAACCACUCUCUUAUGGUGACCGUCAAGGUAAUCGACUCACCUCAAGAUCCACCAUUUCCAAGCAAAGAACACUAUUGGCUUUUCCAAGCCCUAUACUAAGAAUGACUUUUCCAAGUCCUAACUAAGACUAUACUAAGGUGGUCUACUCUCAAGAGAGAGGAUUUUCAAGUUUACAAUCUUUCAUCAUUCAAAACUAGUGAAAAUAAGACUAAAGGGGCCUAUUUAUACUAUAUUACAAAUAAAGAUAAAAGACCACUUUGCCCUUAAUGAGAGGGGCUUUCAUGGUGUGUAAAUACACCAUAUGUAAUGUAUAAAAUACCCUUAAUGAAGGGGCAGCCAAGGUAUGUUAUAACUUGAAUGAAUGAUGCCUUUUCAAUGCUCUCAAAACUCGAGUAUGGUUCAUACUUCAAGGCUUAUGGUUCUCGAGUUAGCAUCAAUGUAAGAAACCAAGCAACCUUCUACUCACGAGAUUGCUUUAAGUCAUACUCAAAAUGAUCCUUCCUUGCGUAUCCUUAUGCUCUCGGGGUGACCAAGUCUUAAGCUUUUACGUGUUGGGCUUCAAAGAUGUCAUCAAAAGCUAAGGUGGUCAUUUUGACUUGUAUCAUCCACCUAACUCUUCAAAUACUCCAGAAUAUCAUCAAUAAACACAAUGAUGAAGAGAUCUAAAUAUUGCUAAAAUACCCUGCUUAUCAAAUCCAUAAACGCUGCUAGGGCAUUUGUCAAUCCAAAUGACAUCACCAAAAACUCAUAAUACCCAUACUGAGUACAAAAACUCAUCUUAGGGAUAUACACCUCCCUAAUCUUUAACUGAUGUUACCCAGACCAAAGAUCUAUCAUAGAGAAAAAUUUGGCACCUUGCAACUGGUAAAAUACAUCAUCUAUCUGAGUAAGAGAAUAUUUGUUCUUGACUGUUACCUUAUUCAACUGCCUGUAGUCGAUGUAACAGAACUAUCUUUCUUGUGCACGAAUAACACUAGUGCACCACUUGGACAAAUGCUAGGAUGAAAAAACCCUUUGUUCAAAAGAUCCUUAAUUUACUCCUUGAGUUCCCUUAACUCAGUCGGAGCCAUUCUAUACAGAGGAAUAGAAAUUGAAAGAGAGUUCGGAAGUAAAUCAAUACCAAACUCUAUUUCCCUAUUUUGGAGGAACACUUGGAAAAUCAUUCAAAAAGACCUCUGAAAACUCAUUAAACAUAGGGACCGAAGACAAAGAAGGAUCUUCUGAAUUAGAAUCCUUAGCCCGGACCAAGUGAUAAAGACAACCCUUAGAGAUUAACCUCCGUGAUAAUUUCCCCUUAGUGCUAAGGAACAACCUUCCCAUUCUAUUUCUAGUUCACCAGGGAAUCUAAAGAAGACCCUAUGGGUUUGACAAUCCAAAUUUUCAUAAGAACAAUCAAUACCCAAGAUUACUUCAAAAUUUACUAUACUCAACUCAAACAGAUCAGUCCUGUCUACAACUCACAGAUACCACACACCCUCUAUAGACCCAUUGAACAAUGACCAAAUCUUCUACUGGAGUAGAAACAAAAAAUGGAUCCAAAAUAAUAUCCUGGUCAAAACCAAAAGAAACAGCUAUAUAAAGAGUCACGUAGAAAAGGAUAGAACCCGAAUCAAGCAAAUAGUAUACGUCACUAUAGAAAAGCUAUAAUGUACCAGUAACAACAUCAGGUAAUGCCUCAGAUUCCUAAUGGGAUGCCAAUGCAUACAACCUAUUUGACCAGUACUAGAACUAGGGGAAUUACUAGAAGAAGAUGCCACAAUACUAAGAGUAGGAACAAAGGAUGCCACCAAAAGUUUAUUCUCCCCAUGGCAACCUUGUUAGAUGGAUAAUCCUUGAGCUGAUAGCCUACUUGGCUACACUUGAAGUACUCCCUUCCCUCAAAGAAUCCCCAAUGAGGAUGACCAUAAAAUCAUUAAGGAGGGCAUAAAGAAACAGACUAACCUUUGCUUGCUUGAGACUGGGCUCCUUGUGCCCAAGAAUUAUCGCCACUAUGAUGACACCGAUCGCCCAACUGCUGGGGUAAAAACCACUAGCAGUAGAGAAGGAACCAGAACUUUCCUAGUUUUUUUUCAAUCAUACCUCACUGUCUCGACCACCCCGAUUGCAUACUUCUUUGAUUAGAAAAUUUACCCUGCUUGUCUCCAGAUUCUACCUACCUUCUGUAUCAUCCCCAACCUGCUUUAUAUAAAUAGUCAACCUCGACAUGUCUAUAUUCUUCAUGAGCAAAAAAAAUCUUGCUCUCCAUAAUAAGAUCUUUGUUCAUCCUAAAAGUGAACUUUCUCAUUCUCAACCUCGUAUAAUCCACUAAAUAAGGAAAAUACCUCAACAAUUAAUGGAACUUCAAAGAAUACUCCUUCAUAGACAUUCUUCCUCACCUGAGAUUUACAAACUCCUCUAUCGUAUCUUCUAUCAACUUUUGAGAAAACAAUGAAUCCAUGAAGGUAUUAGAAAAGGACUCCCACAAACCAUCCUCUUCUACAUCACCCUUAUCUAUGUCCUACUUAUCAUACCAUAGAUAAACAACCUCUUUUAGCUAAUAAUCAACAAAGUUUACUCCUUCCAUAAUAGCAACCCUUAUUACCCAAAAGAUCCUCUCAAUCUCAUUAAGAAAGCCCUGGGGUCUUCCUCCACCUUUAUUCCCAUAAAAGUUGAAGGACCCAUCUUCAUAAAUUAUCUAAGCCUUAGUACCCUCAGUAGAUGUAGUAACUAGUUGGGCAAUAACAUGCACAUAGAUUGACAAAACUCCAUAUUUAUCAUAUUGCCUUAAGGGACUAGAGGAGUAGUAGAAGUAAUAGGAGUAACUCUAGAUCUAGGAGGCAUGAUCUAAAAGAUAAACAAACAAGGAUUAGAGGAGAUUCUAAGACUGAACAGUCAAGUUUGAAGAAAGAGUACCAAGAAAGCAAAACAUUAUUAAAUGUCUACCAGUCUCUCCCUUAUGAGUGGAGAGCAUUGCAUACCCCUAAAAGAUAUUCUACUUGACAUAACUUUAUGGACUACCAAUUGACUGUGAACUUAGGAUCUGAUACCAACUUAAUGGAACCUGAAACGAGUGCUUGUCAUAAUGGACAUCACAAGUAAAACCACGAUCGGGGACCGCCCCCCCUUAACUCUACUCAACCACCUUAUACAACCUUAGACGAGCUAAAUUUUAAGCAUAUAAUAAGAUUGUGCAAUGCUAUCAUAAGUACUCUGGGUAUGGUCACAACAAUGAAUGACCCAAUUGAGUCUAACCAUUCCAAACCAACCAUCCAUACGAUAUCAAACUAUUUAGAAAGUAUCAAUAACAAUAUGAUAAUCAAACCCAAAAUAUAAUAUGAUGGAACAACCAACAAUAUCAUCCAAUGAGGUCAGCCCCAAUAACAAUGCUAGUGCUAAGGCAAAAACCAAUACAUAUCCCACCCAUAUUAACCCCCAAAAGUACCUCAAAGCCUCUAUCCAAAAGAAUACAAAUAUCUGGUUUGGACAUACUCUCAACUAUAGCCAAAAGCAAUAUGCAGAUAGAAUGUAAAAAGUUUAUAAAUGUCCAUCAUGAAAUUAUGAAUUCUGAAAAGAAGGAUGCUCACCACUUUAAUCUAAUAAGUUGUUGACGAAUCAAGUACUAUAAAGAAAGAGUCGAAUGGUCGAUUUCUAUAUAGCAUGGGUAUAUAGCAGCCAGUAGAUGGGUUAGUGGAUGAACACUAUCAUAAAACUCAAGAUAAGGAUAAAGUAAUGCUAGCUAUCAAAACAAAAUGAAAACCAUCCAAUGCAACCAACCAUGAAUAUAUAUAAGUAUUGGGAAAAGGGAUCAAGUUUAGCAUACCAUUAAAACCUUUACCUAGGUUCUAUAGCUUAGCUGUCCUACCACCUACGAGCCAUAUAGGUUCAUCCCCCCUGCUGAAAGGGUCCCAGUGGAUGCAGCUAAACGACCAGACAAUAUACUUGGGAUAACUAGUACAUCCCUCAAAUAUAAAUAUAAUACUCGCACGUAGCCAUCAAAGACCCCUCAUAUCAAUAAAUAUGAGUUUUCAAUUUCGAUCCCCCUAGGACCACCACCUUUCACGGCUUAGCUUAUAUUUCCCAUAAUUAAUGCUAAAAUUAAAACCAACACCAAAUGAUCUAAUUAUCCUUUUAUUAACUGUAAUACCCCAAACUUUCCCUGAGCUUAAUUUCAUCUUGAGAAGGUUAAGAAAUGACAUCCUAGGUGAGUAUUAUUUUUAACCAUAUUAAAUUUCCCUAAUUUCAACUUUUUAUCAUAUGGGAGAUUUGAUAAGCUUUUCAUUGAUAUAAGAUUCGCCUAAAUUCGAUAUCCAGGCAAGAAGUUAUGUCUAAUUUAAGUCCUAGUUGUAAAACACCAUCAUUUUAGUGCUUAGCGCAUCAUGGAGUGGGUCUAUUUAACAAUUGUUAAAUUCCAGUACCUAGCGUAAUAGUGGCACGUUGUGCUGAAGUUCCAGGUCCCAACCAGUGGGACAACGAGAAGGCUCCACAUCACGGUGACCCCAAGAAUACCAUUUGUCAAUUUCCAGUGAGCCACCGCGAUAGUGACACAUCGCGUGGCCCAUAAAAUUAGGCUACCAGUUAUAUUUUUCAGUUACGUUAAGGGUUAAAAAGGGGGUAUUUUGGGCAAUUACCCUACCUCCAAUCCAUCCAUAAACACACAAUCAAUGGCAUAACAAAGAACUUUAUGCCUAAAAUCUUUAUUCUAUGCAAAGCAAAAGCUCUAAGCAUUCAAAUCCUCCCUCAAGAAUCUCAAGAAUCCACCAUAGUUUUCCAAAUUUGAAUUGAUAUUUGAGGUUCCCAAGACAAAAGCUUCAAGAACCCUCAUCCAAAAGUAUGAGAAAGAGUCUCAAGAAAGUUUAUUUGUCAAAGUUCAUAAUUCGAGGUAUGCAGGGUUUGAACAAGAACACUUCUUACGUUUUUGUGCCCAAAGUUUUGGUUUUCGUAAAAGAUUUUAAUGUUUUCAAGAUGAAUUAUGCCUAAAUUUCUACAUUCAAGUAUAUGAGAUUAUGGAUUUGUCCAAGUCUUGAAUUAUAUGAUACUACACCUAUUUUAUGAUUUGAAUUGAGAAUUAAUGUUAUGAAUUGCAUAUUCCUUCCAUGAUUGGUGUUUGGAAUACUCUUAAGAUUGAAGUCAUUAUUUAUCCUUUAUUUUGAAUUGAGAUUUCUUGAAUAUGUUUGCAUGUUUUAAGGUCUAAGAAUGAAUUUUGAUAUAUUCUAUAGUAUUUUAAGAAUGGUAUUGAUAUCUCCAUAUCAUUGAAGUUUCAAAGCUUGUUAAAGUCUACCAAAGUUUAAAGAAAAGAGUUGAUUUUGAUCCUAAGUUAAGAAAGAAAUCCACAUCUUGUGAUUUAAGUUAAAGAGAAGCAUAUUGGCUCCCAUUUCAUAAUGUUGAAUGGUAUAAGGUGGAUUUUCCUAAAAGUUCCGAGCCUAGUAUGGGAGUAGUACUUAAGACCGAGUUGGGCUUAAUUUUGAGGUCUCAUGCCCCAGAACUACGAGCCACUAGAGGAUUUGUUUACCCCAAGUAGGUUAAGCUAGUAAUCACUAAAAGUAAAAGGUUCUACUCUGAUGGCAAGGAUAUAAAAGCUCUCCCCAACGGGGGCAAGAUAUUGGAAUCUAUAUGGAUCACAUGCUUUAUGUCCGUUAGAAGAAUCUCCCAAAAGUAGUCCCAACUCUAUUUAAGAUAAAAGUACUUGUAUUUCAAAAGUUAUGAUUCUAAGAUUUCUAAGGUACUCAAGUGCUAUAAUCUUUAAGUUUCAAAGAAGCCCCUUGUUUUCCAUAAGAUUAAAGUGUACGUUCUAAAGGUUAUCGCUUUAAGACUUUAUCUAGUUCGCCAGCUUGAGUACAAAGAAAAAGUACAGAUUUAGAAUAAGGUGAAAUGACUCACGUGAUUAUAUAGUAUGUUUUCUAUUCAUGAUUUAUGAGGAUUUUAUUCAAGCUAUUUAAGUCACUUAUUAUGGCAUGCAUGUUUUCUAUAAAGACUUAUGAUAUGGAUUAUGCAAUUGCAUACACCCCCAUAUACUCAGUACAUUCCCAAGUGCCGAUCCACAUAUGGUCUUAUAAUAUAGGUUCAGGUAGUCAGCCCCAGCCUUGUCAGUGACUUUCGAGUACCAUUAUCUACAUCUCCACAGUGGUCAGUCCUCAUGGUUUGAAGAAUUAUCUUCAUAUAUUUUAGUAUUUUAGUAGAUAUUUUAUUUCUUGCAGUUUAGUUCGAGUCAGUUGGGGAUCUGUCCAAUGACUCUCUAGUUCAUUGAGUAGUAGAGGCUUUGUUAGACUAGAUUGUCAGUAUAUUUGGACAUUCAGUAUUUUUUUACUUCCACAGUACUAUUUUAUAUUUCAAUGAUAUAUGUUAUGGUAUGUCUCGUAUGUUUCUCUCAAUGCCUUAAUUUAAGCAUUUAGAAGUAGUAGCUAGGUCAAAGGUUAGCUUGGGGUUACUUGUAGCCUUUAGCACUGUGUGACAUCUCGGGACCCAUUUUUGAGGCGUUACAAACUUGGUAUCAGAGCCUAAGGUUUAAGGAGUCCUAGGGAGUCUGACAAGCCAAGUUAAGUAGAGUCUUGAUCAUCAGUGUGUAGUGCGCCACAUCUAUGAGCAAGAAGCUACAAGAUAUUUUAGGAAAAAGUCAUUAUUUUCUUUCAGAACCUAUCAUGCUUACAGUUGUCUAUCUACACUAUUGACUCAUGCUCUAUUAUUUCAAAAAAUAUCUCCUCAAAGUGCGAAUGCCCGCAGAAACAAUAAAGAACAACCCCAUUCAGUUGACCCCUUGAAUGUAAAUGUGUCCCAUGCUAAGUUUUGGGCAGUUUUUCUGGCGUUAGCCCAAGUAGUCACCGCGAAUAUUUAGGCCAAUAACCAGGCCAUAGUUCCGCACCAGCAGGGAGGUGAUUUAGCUACUACUAUAAUUCGUGAUUUCAUGUAUAUGAAUUCGCCAGAGUUCUACCCACAGUUAUAUCUUGAUGAGGUAAGGAAAACCAUACAGGUAAUGCACUUGCUGAGGAAAAAAGUAUGGAGUUGGCGUCUUACAGGUUGAAAGAUAUUGCUUAUGACUGGGUUGUUGCAUGGAAGAAGAAUAAAGGGGAAGAUGAUGCUCCCGUUACUUGGCAGGUGUUCCAAGAUGCUUUCUUGGAUAAGUUCUUUCCAUUAGAAAUGAGAGAGGCAAAAAUAAAGGAGUUCAUGAACUUGAGGUAGGGCUCCAUAACUGUUAGGGAGUACUUCUUGAAGUUCAACCAGUUAGCAAAAUAUGCCCCUGAUUUGAUUUUUGACACCCGUACCAGUAUGAGAGUUUGUAAUAGGUUUUUCUGGUUUAGUGUUGAAAGAGUCCAGGACUGCUAUGUUAAAUAGGGAUAUGGAUCUCUCUAGAUUGAUCAUACAUGCACAACAAAUAGAGACAGACAAAAUAAGAGAAAGAUAUAGAGUGAGGGAAAAUAAGAGGACUAGGUCGAGCAGCAUGAGUAUGGUCAGAUAGGUCCCAUGGAGGGAACCAUCCAUAGUUUUAGAGCUGUUCAUUUAUGCCAGCACCUUCUUCAGCUAGUGCUCCCAUGCCCAAAAAUAGGCAGAAGCAAGGGAAUAGGCCUUCUAUGUCUAAGUCUCAAAACAGUGUAAGUAACAGGCCUAAUAAUCUCCUUGUGCUAAGUGUGGUAGGACCCAUCCCAGUGAGUGUUUGGCCAAACAGAGGGGUUGUUUUCAUUGUGGCAAUUUGGGCCACAGACUUAGGGAGUGUCCGCAUGCCAGGUAGGGGAACAGGGAUGUGCGACCUCAGGCGCAGGCUAAUAGUUCCCCAGCUCCCAUAGCCUGUCCAUCCCUUUCUUAGGGUGCUUCUUCUAGCACUGCUGAUGGUCAGCGCUAGAACAGAUUCUAUUCCUUACCAUCCCAUUAGGAGCAAGAGGAUUUUCCCAACGUUAUUAUUGGUAUGCUUCAUGUAUUUCACUUUGAUAUUUAUGUAUUGUUGGACCCCGGGUUGAGUUUUUCUUAUGUGACCCCACUUGUUAUGAACUUUGAAAUGGGUCCCAAAAAGAUUCUUGAGCCUUUCCUAGUUUCUACUCCAGUAGGGGAGUCAGUUGUUGCCAAGCAAGUGUAUAAAGAUUGUCCUAUUACUAUUCUUCAUAGAGUCAUACUUGUUGAUUUGAUAGAGUUGGAUAUGGUGGAUUUUGAUGUUAUUUUGGCUAUGAAUUGGCUUCAUUCUUGUUAUGCAUCUAUAGACUGUAGUUAAGUUUCAGUUUCCUGAUGAACCAGUUUUCGAGUGGUUUGGGAGUUCAUUAUCUGAUACAAGCACAAUGAGCAUCAAGAGCACAAGGUAUUGUCUAAGAGUUAAGGCUUUGGAAUUGGCAAUCAAUUGAAGACUUUUGGAGUAUUUUGAAGCCUUGGUCAAGAGAAGGAAGGAGAGGAACUUAUACACUUCAUAGGUGUCUCAAGUGAAGGACAAUGAAGACAUUUUACACUCCAAAUAUACACUUCAUAGGCGCCCAUUUCUAAGCCCUCAUUAAGGGCAUUUUUGUUAUUUGGCAUGUAAUUGUAUAAAUAGACCAAUUUACUUCUCUUUUCAUUAGACUUUUGAUGACAUUGAACCUACUUCUAUAUUGUAGUUUUAGCUUUGUAGAGAGAGAGUAGAAUUUGAAAAUUGGUCCUUGAACACUUGAAAGUUAGGGUUUUCAUUUGUCUUGGAUAAUUGGCAAGAAAGGUGUGCUUGGGGAAGAGUGUUUCCUCUGGGUCACCUAAGAGAGUGGUUUAAACUUACAUGGUGAUGUGUGUUUUAAGGUUUGAUACACCUUCUAGUUCUAUUCACUUGUGGAAGUAAGGAUCACUUUACUAUCUUUUCAUCUUAUGCAAUCUUCACCUUCUCCCCCUUUCUUUGUGUGUUGUUUUCUUUAGUUGUGUUUGCUGGAAAUUGUUUGUUGAACCCCAAAUUUCAUGAUUUCUUAGUGUUUAGGCUAUCAUUUGGUAUCAAAGCCUUGUUUAGGGUUGUUCUAGCAUCGCUAAAUCUUGGUUUUAGUGCUCUUGUAUAGAAAAUCUCAUCAAAAAAGAGUCAAAAGUCAAGAAAAUAAAAAAAAAUUAGAUGUUUCACGUUUUUGUGUUUUGACAGAAUUUUAGAUCUUAGAUCUACAUGUUUUUGUGUUGUUUUGCUGGUUUCAAUUGCUAGAUUCUUGUUCCCUAGCACCUAGGAACUUUAGAUCUACUUUUAGAGCAAAGUUUGGUUGAUUUUGAGCUAGAUCCACCAUGGUUAUGGCAUUUUGAAGCUUCAAGAAGCUAGAUCCGUGUGGUUUUUGGGUUGUAGACAUUGGUUGGUUGUGACUUAUUGUUAUUUGAGCUCACAUUGGCCUAAGUAAUCUAGAUCUACAAAAAAAAAUCAAAUUUGGAGUUCAUUUGGUUAGGGGUAAAACUUUGGUCAACUCUUAAAUAUUCAUCUUGUUCUUCCAUGUUCAUCAAGUCUUGCUAAGGAAGAAUAUUCAAAGAGUGUGUUUGAUCCAAAAAAGGGGAAGAAAGAGAGUUUACUUUGUGUUUUUGAAAGAAUAUUCCUUGGCAUAUUCAUUCUCAUCCAAAAGAAAGAAGAGACAAAGGGAAUAAUCAAGUACAAUUGCAUUUAUUAGGGGGGACCAAUCCAUUUUGAAUUCAUUUGAAGCUCCAAAAGGGCUCCAAACCUUCAAUUUUUCCCUCCCAAACAAAAUUCUUCUUCUCCUAAGUGUAUUUGGCCGAAACAAGGUUUUAGGGGAAAUUGAAAAUCCAAAAAGUGACAUCCAACCACAAGCUGCCACAUCAUCACUUUUAUGAAUAACCAAAUUGAGUUCUAAAUUAGAUUUUCUAGUUUCUAGUUUUGGAUUCUAGUUUCUUAUAAGUCAAUUCUAUCCCUAAUUAGUAAGCUAGUAAUUACUUACUAGUUUGAUAAUUAGAUUAGAGUCCUUUUGUUUUGCGUCUUCAAUUUUUCUGUGCUUUUCUCAUUUUUAAAUUCGUAGUAGUUGCUGGUUCAAGUUUGUGCAUCACUUAUUUUGAGUCAUUUCAAACGAAGAUCCAUUCUGAUCCAAAGCUUCCCACCUCUCAAGUAACUUGCCAAGUAUUGCCGGUUCUCCAACUCUUGUGAAGCCAAGUGUGAGGUGAGGUUGAGUGUGAUUGAAGUGAGGCUUUUGAACUAACUCGUUUGCUCAUUUUGUAGGUUAUUUUGCUUGCUAUUUUUUGCACUUCGUAGGUACAUUUUCCAUGGAAAUUGAAGGUACUACUUCCCAACCUUUGGGAAAUGAUGUUAUGAGGAUCUGAUACCAACUUAAUGGAACCUGAAACGAGUGCUUGUCAUAAUGGACAUCACAAGUAAAACCACGAUCGGGGACCGCCCCCCCUUAACUCUACUCAACCACCUUAUACAACCUUAGACGAGCUAAAUUUUAAGCAUAUAAUAAGAUUGUGCAAUGCUAUCAUAAGUACUCUGGGUAUGGUCACAACAAUGAAUGACCCAAUUGAGUCUAACCAUUCCAAACCAACCAUCCAUACGAUAUCAAACUAUUUAGAAAGUAUCAAUAACAAUAUGAUAAUCAAACCCAAAAUAUAAUAUGAUGGAACAACCAACAAUAUCAUCCAAUGAGGUCAGCCCCAAUAACAAUGCUAGUGCUAAGGCAAAAACCAAUACAUAUCCCACCCAUAUUAACCCCCAAAAGUACCUCAAAGCCUCUAUCCAAAAGAAUACAAAUAUCUGGUUUGGACAUACUCUCAACUAUAGCCAAAAGCAAUAUGCAGAUAGAAUGUAAAAAGUUUAUAAAUGUCCAUCAUGAAAUUAUGAAUUCUGAAAAGAAGGAUGCUCACCACUUUAAUCUAAUAAGUUGUUGACGAAUCAAGUACUAUAAAGAAAGAGUCGAAUGGUCGAUUUCUAUAUAGCAUGGGUAUAUAGCAGCCAGUAGAUGGGUUAGUGGAUGAACACUAUCAUAAAACUCAAGAUAAGGAUAAAGUAAUGCUAGCUAUCAAAACAAAAUGAAAACCAUCCAAUGCAACCAACCAUGAAUAUAUAUAAGUAUUGGGAAAAGGGAUCAAGUUUAGCAUACCAUUAAAACCUUUACCUAGGUUCUAUAGCUUAGCUGUCCUACCACCUACGAGCCAUAUAGGUUCAUCCCCCCUGCUGAAAGGGUCCCAGUGGAUGCAGCUAAACGACCAGACAAUAUACUUGGGAUAACUAGUACAUCCCUCAAAUAUAAAUAUAAUACUCGCACGUAGCCAUCAAAGACCCCUCAUAUCAAUAAAUAUGAGUUUUCAAUUUCGAUCCCCCUAGGACCACCACCUUUCACGGCUUAGCUUAUAUUUCCCAUAAUUAAUGCUAAAAUUAAAACCAACACCAAAUGAUCUAAUUAUCCUUUUAUUAACUGUAAUACCCCAAACUUUCCCUGAGCUUAAUUUCAUCUUGAGAAGGUUAAGAAAUGACAUCCUAGGUGAGUAUUAUUUUUAACCAUAUUAAAUUUCCCUAAUUUCAACUUUUUAUCAUAUGGGAGAUUUGAUAAGCUUUUCAUUGAUAUAAGAUUCGCCUAAAUUCGAUAUCCAGGCAAGAAGUUAUGUCUAAUUUAAGUCCUAGUUGUAAAACACCAUCAUUUUAGUGCUUAGCGCAUCAUGGAGUGGGUCUAUUUAACAAUUGUUAAAUUCCAGUACCUAGCGUAAUAGUGGCACGUUGUGCUGAAGUUCCAGGUCCCAACCAGUGGGACAACGAGAAGGCUCCACAUCACGGUGACCCCAAGAAUACCAUUUGUCAAUUUCCAGUGAGCCACCGCGAUAGUGACACAUCGCGUGGCCCAUAAAAUUAGGCUACCAGUUAUAUUUUUCAGUUACGUUAAGGGUUAAAAAGGGGGUAUUUUGGGCAAUUACCCUACCUCCAAUCCAUCCAUAAACACACAAUCAAUGGCAUAACAAAGAACUUUAUGCCUAAAAUCUUUAUUCUAUGCAAAGCAAAAGCUCUAAGCAUUCAAAUCCUCCCUCAAGAAUCUCAAGAAUCCACCAUAGUUUUCCAAAUUUGAAUUGAUAUUUGAGGUUCCCAAGACAAAAGCUUCAAGAACCCUCAUCCAAAAGUAUGAGAAAGAGUCUCAAGAAAGUUUAUUUGUCAAAGUUCAUAAUUCGAGGUAUGCAGGGUUUGAACAAGAACACUUCUUACGUUUUUGUGCCCAAAGUUUUGGUUUUCGUAAAAGAUUUUAAUGUUUUCAAGAUGAAUUAUGCCUAAAUUUCUACAUUCAAGUAUAUGAGAUUAUGGAUUUGUCCAAGUCUUGAAUUAUAUGAUACUACACCUAUUUUAUGAUUUGAAUUGAGAAUUAAUGUUAUGAAUUGCAUAUUCCUUCCAUGAUUGGUGUUUGGAAUACUCUUAAGAUUGAAGUCAUUAUUUAUCCUUUAUUUUGAAUUGAGAUUUCUUGAAUAUGUUUGCAUGUUUUAAGGUCUAAGAAUGAAUUUUGAUAUAUUCUAUAGUAUUUUAAGAAUGGUAUUGAUAUCUCCAUAUCAUUGAAGUUUCAAAGCUUGUUAAAGUCUACCAAAGUUUAAAGAAAAGAGUUGAUUUUGAUCCUAAGUUAAGAAAGAAAUCCACAUCUUGUGAUUUAAGUUAAAGAGAAGCAUAUUGGCUCCCAUUUCAUAAUGUUGAAUGGUAUAAGGUGGAUUUUCCUAAAAGUUCCGAGCCUAGUAUGGGAGUAGUACUUAAGACCGAGUUGGGCUUAAUUUUGAGGUCUCAUGCCCCAGAACUACGAGCCACUAGAGGAUUUGUUUACCCCAAGUAGGUUAAGCUAGUAAUCACUAAAAGUAAAAGGUUCUACUCUGAUGGCAAGGAUAUAAAAGCUCUCCCCAACGGGGGCAAGAUAUUGGAAUCUAUAUGGAUCACAUGCUUUAUGUCCGUUAGAAGAAUCUCCCAAAAGUAGUCCCAACUCUAUUUAAGAUAAAAGUACUUGUAUUUCAAAAGUUAUGAUUCUAAGAUUUCUAAGGUACUCAAGUGCUAUAAUCUUUAAGUUUCAAAGAAGCCCCUUGUUUUCCAUAAGAUUAAAGUGUACGUUCUAAAGGUUAUCGCUUUAAGACUUUAUCUAGUUCGCCAGCUUGAGUACAAAGAAAAAGUACAGAUUUAGAAUAAGGUGAAAUGACUCACGUGAUUAUAUAGUAUGUUUUCUAUUCAUGAUUUAUGAGGAUUUUAUUCAAGCUAUUUAAGUCACUUAUUAUGGCAUGCAUGUUUUCUAUAAAGACUUAUGAUAUGGAUUAUGCAAUUGCAUACACCCCCAUAUACUCAGUACAUUCCCAAGUGCCGAUCCACAUAUGGUCUUAUAAUAUAGGUUCAGGUAGUCAGCCCCAGCCUUGUCAGUGACUUUCGAGUACCAUUAUCUACAUCUCCACAGUGGUCAGUCCUCAUGGUUUGAAGAAUUAUCUUCAUAUAUUUUAGUAUUUUAGUAGAUAUUUUAUUUCUUGCAGUUUAGUUCGAGUCAGUUGGGGAUCUGUCCAAUGACUCUCUAGUUCAUUGAGUAGUAGAGGCUUUGUUAGACUAGAUUGUCAGUAUAUUUGGACAUUCAGUAUUUUUUUACUUCCACAGUACUAUUUUAUAUUUCAAUGAUAUAUGUUAUGGUAUGUCUCGUAUGUUUCUCUCAAUGCCUUAAUUUAAGCAUUUAGAAGUAGUAGCUAGGUCAAAGGUUAGCUUGGGGUUACUUGUAGCCUUUAGCACUGUGUGACAUCUCGGGACCCAUUUUUGAGGCGUUACAAACUUGGUAUCAGAGCCUAAGGUUUAAGGAGUCCUAGGGAGUCUGACAAGCCAAGUUAAGUAGAGUCUUGAUCAUCAGUGUGUAGUGCGCCACAUCUAUGAGCAAGAAGCUACAAGAUAUUUUAGGAAAAAGUCAUUAUUUUCUUUCAGAACCUAUCAUGCUUACAGUUGUCUAUCUACACUAUUGACUCAUGCUCUAUUAUUUCAAAAAAUAUCUCCUCAAAGUGCGAAUGCCCGCAGAAACAAUAAAGAACAACCCCAUUCAGUUGACCCCUUGAAUGUAAAUGUGUCCCAUGCUAAGUUUUGGGCAGUUUUUCUGGCGUUAGCCCAAGUAGUCACCGCGAAUAUUUAGGCCAAUAACCAGGCCAUAGUUCCGCACCAGCAGGGAGGUGAUUUAGCUACUACUAUAAUUCGUGAUUUCAUGUAUAUGAAUUCGCCAGAGUUCUACCCACAGUUAUAUCUUGAUGAGGUAAGGAAAACCAUACAGGUAAUGCACUUGCUGAGGAAAAAAGUAUGGAGUUGGCGUCUUACAGGUUGAAAGAUAUUGCUUAUGACUGGGUUGUUGCAUGGAAGAAGAAUAAAGGGGAAGAUGAUGCUCCCGUUACUUGGCAGGUGUUCCAAGAUGCUUUCUUGGAUAAGUUCUUUCCAUUAGAAAUGAGAGAGGCAAAAAUAAAGGAGUUCAUGAACUUGAGGUAGGGCUCCAUAACUGUUAGGGAGUACUUCUUGAAGUUCAACCAGUUAGCAAAAUAUGCCCCUGAUUUGAUUUUUGACACCCGUACCAGUAUGAGAGUUUGUAAUAGGUUUUUCUGGUUUAGUGUUGAAAGAGUCCAGGACUGCUAUGUUAAAUAGGGAUAUGGAUCUCUCUAGAUUGAUCAUACAUGCACAACAAAUAGAGACAGACAAAAUAAGAGAAAGAUAUAGAGUGAGGGAAAAUAAGAGGACUAGGUCGAGCAGCAUGAGUAUGGUCAGAUAGGUCCCAUGGAGGGAACCAUCCAUAGUUUUAGAGCUGUUCAUUUAUGCCAGCACCUUCUUCAGCUAGUGCUCCCAUGCCCAAAAAUAGGCAGAAGCAAGGGAAUAGGCCUUCUAUGUCUAAGUCUCAAAACAGUGUAAGUAACAGGCCUAAUAAUCUCCUUGUGCUAAGUGUGGUAGGACCCAUCCCAGUGAGUGUUUGGCCAAACAGAGGGGUUGUUUUCAUUGUGGCAAUUUGGGCCACAGACUUAGGGAGUGUCCGCAUGCCAGGUAGGGGAACAGGGAUGUGCGACCUCAGGCGCAGGCUAAUAGUUCCCCAGCUCCCAUAGCCUGUCCAUCCCUUUCUUAGGGUGCUUCUUCUAGCACUGCUGAUGGUCAGCGCUAGAACAGAUUCUAUUCCUUACCAUCCCAUUAGGAGCAAGAGGAUUUUCCCAACGUUAUUAUUGGUAUGCUUCAUGUAUUUCACUUUGAUAUUUAUGUAUUGUUGGACCCCGGGUUGAGUUUUUCUUAUGUGACCCCACUUGUUAUGAACUUUGAAAUGGGUCCCAAAAAGAUUCUUGAGCCUUUCCUAGUUUCUACUCCAGUAGGGGAGUCAGUUGUUGCCAAGCAAGUGUAUAAAGAUUGUCCUAUUACUAUUCUUCAUAGAGUCAUACUUGUUGAUUUGAUAGAGUUGGAUAUGGUGGAUUUUGAUGUUAUUUUGGCUAUGAAUUGGCUUCAUUCUUGUUAUGCAUCUAUAGACUGUAGUUAAGUUUCAGUUUCCUGAUGAACCAGUUUUCGAGUGGUUUGGGAGUUCAUUAUCUGAUACAAGCACAAUGAGCAUCAAGAGCACAAGGUAUUGUCUAAGAGUUAAGGCUUUGGAAUUGGCAAUCAAUUGAAGACUUUUGGAGUAUUUUGAAGCCUUGGUCAAGAGAAGGAAGGAGAGGAACUUAUACACUUCAUAGGUGUCUCAAGUGAAGGACAAUGAAGACAUUUUACACUCCAAAUAUACACUUCAUAGGCGCCCAUUUCUAAGCCCUCAUUAAGGGCAUUUUUGUUAUUUGGCAUGUAAUUGUAUAAAUAGACCAAUUUACUUCUCUUUUCAUUAGACUUUUGAUGACAUUGAACCUACUUCUAUAUUGUAGUUUUAGCUUUGUAGAGAGAGAGUAGAAUUUGAAAAUUGGUCCUUGAACACUUGAAAGUUAGGGUUUUCAUUUGUCUUGGAUAAUUGGCAAGAAAGGUGUGCUUGGGGAAGAGUGUUUCCUCUGGGUCACCUAAGAGAGUGGUUUAAACUUACAUGGUGAUGUGUGUUUUAAGGUUUGAUACACCUUCUAGUUCUAUUCACUUGUGGAAGUAAGGAUCACUUUACUAUCUUUUCAUCUUAUGCAAUCUUCACCUUCUCCCCCUUUCUUUGUGUGUUGUUUUCUUUAGUUGUGUUUGCUGGAAAUUGUUUGUUGAACCCCAAAUUUCAUGAUUUCUUAGUGUUUAGGCUAUCAUUUGGUAUCAAAGCCUUGUUUAGGGUUGUUCUAGCAUCGCUAAAUCUUGGUUUUAGUGCUCUUGUAUAGAAAAUCUCAUCAAAAAAGAGUCAAAAGUCAAGAAAAUAAAAAAAAAUUAGAUGUUUCACGUUUUUGUGUUUUGACAGAAUUUUAGAUCUUAGAUCUACAUGUUUUUGUGUUGUUUUGCUGGUUUCAAUUGCUAGAUUCUUGUUCCCUAGCACCUAGGAACUUUAGAUCUACUUUUAGAGCAAAGUUUGGUUGAUUUUGAGCUAGAUCCACCAUGGUUAUGGCAUUUUGAAGCUUCAAGAAGCUAGAUCCGUGUGGUUUUUGGGUUGUAGACAUUGGUUGGUUGUGACUUAUUGUUAUUUGAGCUCACAUUGGCCUAAGUAAUCUAGAUCUACAAAAAAAAAUCAAAUUUGGAGUUCAUUUGGUUAGGGGUAAAACUUUGGUCAACUCUUAAAUAUUCAUCUUGUUCUUCCAUGUUCAUCAAGUCUUGCUAAGGAAGAAUAUUCAAAGAGUGUGUUUGAUCCAAAAAAGGGGAAGAAAGAGAGUUUACUUUGUGUUUUUGAAAGAAUAUUCCUUGGCAUAUUCAUUCUCAUCCAAAAGAAAGAAGAGACAAAGGGAAUAAUCAAGUACAAUUGCAUUUAUUAGGGGGGACCAAUCCAUUUUGAAUUCAUUUGAAGCUCCAAAAGGGCUCCAAACCUUCAAUUUUUCCCUCCCAAACAAAAUUCUUCUUCUCCUAAGUGUAUUUGGCCGAAACAAGGUUUUAGGGGAAAUUGAAAAUCCAAAAAGUGACAUCCAACCACAAGCUGCCACAUCAUCACUUUUAUGAAUAACCAAAUUGAGUUCUAAAUUAGAUUUUCUAGUUUCUAGUUUUGGAUUCUAGUUUCUUAUAAGUCAAUUCUAUCCCUAAUUAGUAAGCUAGUAAUUACUUACUAGUUUGAUAAUUAGAUUAGAGUCCUUUUGUUUUGCGUCUUCAAUUUUUCUGUGCUUUUCUCAUUUUUAAAUUCGUAGUAGUUGCUGGUUCAAGUUUGUGCAUCACUUAUUUUGAGUCAUUUCAAACGAAGAUCCAUUCUGAUCCAAAGCUUCCCACCUCUCAAGUAACUUGCCAAGUAUUGCCGGUUCUCCAACUCUUGUGAAGCCAAGUGUGAGGUGAGGUUGAGUGUGAUUGAAGUGAGGCUUUUGAACUAACUCGUUUGCUCAUUUUGUAGGUUAUUUUGCUUGCUAUUUUUUGCACUUCGUAGGUACAUUUUCCAUGGAAAUUGAAGGUACUACUUCCCAACCUUUGGGAAAUGAUGUUAUGAGAGCUUUGAUGGCCCAAAUAGAGGCCUUGAGUCGAGAAUAAAGAGCGGAAAUGAUGCUAUAUGGAGUGAUAUGGAUUCAAUGAGGGGUGACAUGAUUAGAAUUAGAGAGAGGGUUGAUAGACUAUGUCCACCAAAAUCUCUACAAUUCCAAACACCUCAAGUCCAAAGAUCCUAUACUUUACAAAAUCCAAUGACUCCUCUCCAUGAGUUAGAAACCAAAGAGAGUAAGGCCAAGCCUCAAGAAGGAGAGAAACUUGAUGCUAAUAUGCAAGAAGAGUGUGAAGAAAAGAAGGAAAGGAAAAACAAAAGCAUGGGUAGUGAAGUUGGAAAGGAAAAAAAAUGCUUGAUUAUGGAUCUUGUCCACAAAGAAUCCUUGAUAAUAACUAACCCAAAUUCUAGCAUUUUGCCUAGCAUUGAUUCUGCAUAUGUGCAGGUACAAGAAGAUAUAAUUUCAAGGGAGAAUAAAAAAGAAGUCCCUCCCGAACAUGUUGGUUUUCUAAGUGCACUCUUGGCCGAAAGUUUGGGGCAAGUGGGAUUCCAUAGUACAACCCAAGGUAAAAUUGGUACCCUCUACACUCACUCAAGUCUAAAAAGUUGUGAUGUGGCUAUUAGUAGCCAAAGUUAUGUGAAUUUAGGUUUCCCUAGUGUAGAGAAGCAUGAAUCUUUCAUUGGUAGUACUAUUAUUGUGUGUAAUGCUCAAUUUGUUUUUAAGGGUGGUUCACUACUUGAUUAUGUGAGUAAUGAGAUUAAAGAUAUUCAAGUUGAUGCUCAUUCUUGUAAUGGUGAUUAUGUGUAUGGAGAGAUUGCAGAUGAUGAUGUGUAUGUUGCUAAGGGAGGCCUACUUGGCCAUAAGUCCUUAUCCUUGUGUGUUAGUCUUCCCACAAGAACAAAUGCUUGGGGUGAGUGUGAUACCCUAAUAGAUAGAAUGAGUAUUUUUCGUUUUAUUCCCUUGGCCACUUCACCCAUUUGAUCCUGGUGUACUAGUAGGGCGGGGACGACAUUGUUUUGGCUUGUCCUUGUUUUCCCUUGAUGUUUAUGAUGCACAUACUUAUUGUUUCAUGUACAAAAUAAGGGACUGCUGGUUGUAUUUCAAAUAUGUACCCCCUUGGCGUAAUAAUCUAGUGAAAGGGAUGCUUCACCAUGGCCUAGGCCCUUGCAUACUAUCUCUAUUUGACCCCAGAAUAUUCUUGAGAUGUGAAGAUUAUAGUUGUUGGUCGUAUUCACUUAUUUUUUAUAUUGAUGCUAUUUAUGUCUUUGGUAUACUUUAUGCCUAGCUUUUUAUGUCAAAAACCAAGGAUAUGUGGAUGUAUGUCAAGUGUGAGCAACCAUGGGUUGAUGAUAUAAGUGUGGUACUAAUACUAACCCUCCUACCAAGAGGAUUUUGUGUUUGUUUUGCUCUCUCUUUAGUUUUUGAAAGAUCUGAAUUUGAGGACAAAUUCCUUCAAGAUGGAGAGGAUGAUACAAGCACAAUGAGAAUCAAGAGCACAAGGUAUUGUCUAAGAGUUAAGGCUUCAAAAUUGGCAAGCAAUUGAAGACUUUUGGAGUAUUUUAAAGCCUUGGUCAAGAGAAGGAAGGAGGGAACUUAUACACUUCAUAGGCGCCUCAAGUGAAGGACAAUGAAGACAUCUUACUCUCCAAAUAUACACUCCAUAGGUGCCCAUUUCUAAGCCCCCAUUAAGGGCAUUUUUGUCAUUUGGCAUGUAAUAGUAUAAAUAGACCAUUUUACUUCUCUUUUCAUUAAACUUUUGAUGACAUUGAACCUACUUCUAUAUUUUAGUUUUAGCUUUGUAGAGAGAGAAAGUAGAAUCUGAAAAUUGGUUUUUGAACACUUGAAAGUUAGGAUUUUCAUUUGUCUUGGAUAACUGGCAAGAAAGGUGUGCUUGGGGAAGAGUGUUUCCUUUUGGUCACCUAAGAUAGUGUUUAAUCUUACAUGGUGAUGUGUGUUUGAAAGUUUGAUACACCUUCUAGUGCUAUUCACUUAUGGAAGUAAGGGUCACUUUACUAUCUUUUCAUCUUAUGCAAUCUUCAGCUUCUCCCCCUUUCUUUAUGUAUUGUUUUCUUUAGUUGUAUUUUUUGGAAAUUGUUUGUUGAACCCCAAAUUUCAUGAUUUCUUAGUAUUUAGGCUAUCAGUAUCCCCCAAGAGUCAUUUUAUCUCCUAUCUCAAAGCCAGAAAGCUUAUAUCUAAAGGUCGCAUCUAUCACGUAGUUAGGGUUAAAGACACCAAGUCUGAGGCCCAACUAUUCAGUCAGUUGAUGUUGUUAAUGAGUUUCCUGAUGUUUUUUCGGAAGAUCUCCCAGGGGUACCUCCCGAUAGAGAAAUAGAAUUUAGGAUUGACCUUCUUCCCGACACUCAGCCUAUUUCAAUUCCUCCCUACCGUAUGGUACCUGUAGAGCUUAUGGAGUUGAAAAAGCAACACAAGGAUCUUUUAGAUAAAGGUUUUAUAAGGCCCAGUGUGUCACCUUGGGGCGUACCUAUUCUAUUUGUGCGAAAGAAAUAUUGUUCUUUGCGUAUGUGCAUUGACUAUCAUCAGCUUAAUAAGGUCACAGUCAAAUAUAAGUACCCUCUUCCGAGAAUAGAUGACCUAUUUGAUCAAUUGUAGGAUGCAAGUUACUCCUCAAAGAUAGACCUUCGAUCCGGCUAUCAUCAACUCAAAAUAAGGGAGUGUGGUAUCCCGAAGACAGCCUUCCAAACUCGUUAUAGUCACUUUGAGUUUUUAGUCGUGUCUUUCGGGCUAUCUAAUGCUCCAACAGCCUUCAUGGACCUCAUGAAUCGAUUAUUUAAAUAGUAUCUUGAUAUGUUUGUCAUUGUUUUCAUAGAUGAUAUUCUUGUGUAUUCCCGUAGUGAAAAUGACCAUACAUAUCAUCUUAGAAUUAUCUUGCAGACUCUUAGAGAUCACCAGUUGUUCACCAAAUUUUGCAAGUGUGAAUUUUAGCUAAGAUCAGUAGCUUUUCUAGGUCAUAUCAUUUCAGCCAAAGGCAUUAGAGUUGAUCCCCAAAAGACAAAAGCCGUAAAAAAUUGGCCUAGACCCAUCACUCUAUCUAACAUUAGGAGUUUCUUGGGUCUAGCUGGCUAUUACCGUCAUUUUGUUGAAUGUUUCUUCUAUUGUCCCAUGACCCGAUUGUCCCAAAAGAAAGUUAAGUUCCUUUGGUCGGAUUCCUGUGAGAAGAGUUUUCAGGAAUUGAAGACUCAACUCAGUUCAGCGCCUAUGUAAACUUUAGCUGAUGGUACAAAUGGUUUUGUGGUGUAUUGUGACGCCUCUAAAGUUGGUUUGGGUUAUGUACUGAUGCAGAAUGGUAAAUUUAUAGCCUAUGCCUCUAGACAGUUGAAACCUCAUGAAAAGAAUUACCAACCGAUGAUCUAGAAUUAGCUGCUGUGGUCUUUGCUUUGAAAAUCUGGAGGCAUUAUCUUUAUGGUGUUCAUGUGGAUGUGUUCACUAAUCACAAAAGCCUACAAUAUGUGUUUUCUCAUAGGGAGUUAAAUCUUAGGCAGAGGAGAUAGUUAGAACUGCUAAAAGAGUAUGAUAUGAGUAUGUUGUAUCACCCGGGCAAGGCCAAUGUAUUAGCAGAUGCCCUUAGCAAGAGUUAGCCCGUGAUGUGCAUCAUUGGGAUAGAUUGGGCAUUAGGUUUCUUGAUUCUGCUAAGAGGAGUAUUUCGGUGCAGAGUAGUUCCAAAUCCUAUUUGGUUUCAAAAGUGAAGGAGAAGCAAAACUCAGAGAUCCUAGUUUGGUCAGACUGAAGGAGUCAGCUAAUGACCAAAGGGUAGAGAUUUUCUCCUAAGGAGGAGAUGGUGUGUUGAGAUUGCAAGGUAGAUUAUGUGUUCCUUGUGUUGAUGAUCUGAGAAUGAGGAUCAUGGCAGAGGUGCAUGGCGCAUGGUAUUCUAUUCAUCCCAGUGCUACCAAGAUGUACCAUGACUUACGAGAAAUCUAUUGGUGGAGUGGUAUGAAGAAGGAUAUAGCUGAGUUCGUAACUAUGCAACCAGGUUAAAGUAAAGCAUCAGUGACCUGGUGAUGUGAUAAAAGAGUUUAGUAUACCCACUUGGAAGUGGAAAGAGCAAAAUAUGGAUUUCAUGACUAGUUUACCUCUCUCCCGAUGCCAUUAUAAUUCUAUUUAGGUUGUUGUAGAUAGGCUGAGUAAGUCAGCGCAUUUUCUUGCCUAUGCAUACAUCUUAUACUUGCUGAGGAUUAUGCUAGAUUGUAUAUUUGGGAGUUAGUCAAGCUGCAUGGAGUUCCCUUGUCUAUCAUCUCAAAUAGGGGUACUUAAUUCAUUUCUCAAUUUUGGAGAGCUUUUCAUAGAGGUCUUGGUACCCAAGUGCAUCUUAGUUUCGCUUUUCAUCCGCAGAAUGAUGGUCAGGCUGAAAGGACCAUCCAAACUUUAGAGGACAUAUUCAGGGUGUGUGCUCUUGAUUUUAAAGGGAGUUGGGAUGAGCAUUUACCUUUGAUAGAGUUUUUGUAUAAUAAUAGUUACCAUGCUAGUAUCAAGAUGGCACCAUUUGAGGCUUUGUGUGGUAGAAGGUGUAGAUCACCCAUAGGAUGGUUCGAAGUGGGUGAAGCUACUUUGGUUGGACCUGAUGCAGUAUUUGAGGCUAUGGAGAAGGUAAAGUUGAUUAGAGAAAGGUUGAAGACAGCGCAGAGUCAUCAGAAGUCAUAUUCAGACGUGAGAAGAAGGGAUAUUGAGUUCAAAGUUAAUAACUUGGUGUAUCAGAAAAUUUCACCCAUGAAAGGGUGAAAAGGUUUGAGAAGAAGGGGAAACUUAGUCCUCGUUAUGUUGGUCCGUACAUAGUUCUUAACCAUGUUGGGAAAGAAGCUUAUGAAGUUAAGUUGUCUGCAGAGUUGUCAGCUAUUCAUUCAGUCUUUCAUGUCUCCAUGCUUAGUAAGUGUAUUGGUGAUUCUGUUGUUAUAGAUCCUUGGAAAAACACUGAUGUUCGGGACUGUCUUUCAUUUGAUGGGAUUCCAGUUGAAAUAUUAGAUUACCAAGUCCAGACACUAAGGAACAAAAAAGUUCCCUUAGUCAAAGUGUUGUGGAAAAAUCAGUCAGUUGAGGGUGCUACAUGGGAAGCCGAAGCAGAUAUGUACCUUUCCUUCUUAAUUCAGUCCGUUUCUAAUCAAAGGUUCAGCUAUAUAACUAUUCUUAUUAUGAAUCAUACAUUCUCUAAAGUUUUCAAGAGUUUAGAAAGACAAAGAAUCAGCUUGGCGAGUUCUUCCAGCUUACGUACACGGUAUCCUCUGUAUUUUCAGCCUCUCUAGUGACAUUCAAGGAUGAAUGUUCUCAAGGAGGAGAUAGUGUAAUACCCAAAACUUUCCCCUAAGCUUAAUUUCGUCUCAAGAAGGUUAAGAACUGACUUCUUAGGUGAGUAUCAUUUUUAACCAUAUAGAAUUUCCCUAAUUUCAAAUUUUUAUCAUAUGAGAAAUUUGAUAAGCUUUCCAUUGAUAUAAGAUUUGCCUAAAUCUGAUACCCAGACAAGAAACAAUGGCUAAUUUAAGUCCUAGUCAUAAAACACCGUCAUUUUAGUGUUUGGCGUAUCGUGGAGUGGGUAUAUUUAACAAUUGUCAAAUUCCACUAGCCUAGCGCAAUAGUGGUGCAUCACGUUGAAGUUUUAGGUCCCAACCAGUGGGACAACGCGAUGGCUCCGCGUCACAGUGAGCCCAAGAAUCCCAUUUGUCAAUUUCCAGUGAGCCACCAUGAUAGUGGCGCAUCGCAGUGGCCCAUAAAAUUGGGCUUCCAGUUAUAUUUUUUUCAGUUACGUUAAGGGUUAAAAGGGGGUACUUUGGGCAAUUACCCUACCCCCAAUCCAUCCAUAAACACACAAUCAAUGGCAUAACAAAGCACUUUAUGCCAAAAUCUUUAUUCUUUACAAAGCCAAAGCCCUAAGCAUCCAAAUCCUCACCCAAAAAUCUCAAGAAUUCACCAUAGUUUUCUAAAUUGAAUUGAGAUUUGAGGUUCCCAAGAAUUCACCAAGUUGGGGUUGAUUCCGAGGUCUCAUGCCCCAGAACUACGAGCCACACUAGGGUUUGAUUUACCCCAAGUGGGUUAAGCUAGUGAUAACUAAAAGUAAAAGAUUCUACUCUGAUGGCAAGGAUAGAACAGCUCUCUCUAACGUGGGCAAGACAUUGGAAUCCAUGUGGCUCACAUGGUUUAAGUCGGUUAGAAGAAUCUCCCAAAAGUAGUCCCUGCUCUAUUUAAGAUAAAAGUACUUGUAUUUCAAAAGCUAUGAUUCUAAGAUUUCUAAGGUUCUCAAGUGCUAUAUAAUCUUUACAUUUCAAAGAAGAUCCUUGUUUUCCGUGAGAUUAAAGUGUAUGUUUUGAAGGUUGUCGCUUUAAGACCUUAUCUAGUUCCCAAGCUUGAGUAUAAACUAAAAGUACAGAUUUAGAAUAAAGUGAAAUAACUCAUGUGAUUUAUAUAGUAUGUUUUCUAUUCUUGAUUUAUGAGGAUUUUAUUCAAGCUAUGUGAGUCACCUAUUAUGGCAUGCAUAUUUUCUAUAAAAACUUAUAUAUGUAAUUGCAUACCCCCAUAUACUCAGUAAAUUCCCAAGUGCUGAUCCACAUACUACAUUGUCUUAUAUUGUAGGUUCAGGUGCUCAGCCCCAACCUCAUUAGUGACUUUCGAGUACCUUUGUCUACCUCUUCAUAGUGGUGAGUCCUCAUGGUUCGAGGACCUAUCUUCAGACAUUUCAGUAUUUUAGUAGAUGUUUUACAUUUCAAAGAAGAUCCUUGUUUUCCGUGAGAUUAAAGUGUAUGUUUUAAAGGUUGUCGCUUUAAGACUUUAUCUAGUUCGCAAGCUUGAGUACAAACAAAAAGUACAGAUUUAGAAUAAAGUGAAAUAACUCAUGUGAUUUAUAUAGUAUGUUUUCUAUUCAUGAUUUAUGAGGAUUUUAUACAAGCUAUGUGAGUCACCUAUUAUGGCAUGCAUGUUUUCUAUAAAAACUUAUAUAUGUAAUUGUAUACCCCCAUAUACUCAGUAAAUUCCCAAGUGUUGAUCCACAUACUACAUUGUCUUAUAUUGUAGGUUCAGGUGCUCAUCCCCAGCCUUAUUAGUGACUUUCGAGAAACUUUGUCUACAUCUCCACAGUGGUGAGUCCUCAUGGUUCGAAGACCUAUCUUCAGACAUUUCAGUAUUUUAGUAGAUGUUUUAUUUCUUUCAGUUUAGUUCGAGUCAGUUGGGGAUCCCAAUGGCUCUUUAGUUCAUUGAGUAGUAGAGGCUUUGUCAGACUAGAUUGUUGGUAUAUUUAGAUAUUCAGUAUUUUUUUUACUUUCACAGUACUCUUUCAUAUUUUAGUGAGAUGUGCUAUGGUAUGUCUCAGUAUGUUGCUCUCAGUUCCUUGAUUUAAGUAUUUAGAAGUAGUAGCAGGCUCAAAGGGUUAGCUUGGUGUUACUUGUUGCCUUAAGCACCGUGUGACGUCUUGGGAACCAUUUUUGGGGCGUCACAUUAACCAAGGCUAUUCAAUAAUCUAGUGGUAUCAUCAUACCACCAUACAUGCAAGCAUUAUCCAUAGAUGAACUAUUUAGAUUAGGUUGACAUUCAAGUGCCUAUCAUUAGCCAUAUUAAACCACUUGGGAGACUUCCAUGUUCUCCACAAGCAUAACCAAUUAGCAAUUAACCUUUGUAAACCAUUGAAAAACAUUUAAGGUUUCAUAUAUAAGAUAAAAAUAAGCAAGAGUUCCAUUAACAUAAGUCAAUGCAAUGAACAUAUCUUUUAUGAGCAUUUAUAAAAUACCUUGGGGGUAUAAUGUAACCAAAACCAACUUCCAUUACAUUAAACCAUUACCAUGCAAUUAAAUUAUCCAAAACCACCGUUAAUGUAUAGAAAAUAUAAUUAAAACCAUAGGAAAUCAUAACCAAGCAAUUAACAUCAGAACCCCAAAUCAAUAGUUGAAAGCCAUAAUUAUCCAAGAGUAAAACCAUGAAAUCAACCAUGUAACAAUUCCUUUAAUUCAAAUAAAAAUUAGGGAAGAAAAUAAUGCCUUAAACUAAGAAGAUAUGGAAAAAAUCACCAAGGCAAUCCCCAAAGUAGUCCUUAGUUGAAACCCUAGCUCUUUGCCCCUAAAGCUCUUGAGAGAAUUAUGAUAUGUUUAGGAAGAGUUUCUAAGAGUUUAAGAGUAAAAUAAUAGUUUAAAUAACCUUCUAAGUGUAUUAGAAGUCGUGGGUCCUUAUUAGGGUAAGUAGGGAAAUGUUCAGAAUACCCCCACUUAAAUUCUAUAAAAACCUGACACAGGAUCACUACUGACCUCCUUAGGAGUCGUAACCUCUCUUUCAGUUGAUUCCCACCGAUCAUAACCAAGCCUCAACCAUGGAUCAAAUACUAUAACUCAUCAACCUAUGUCGUAACCUUAACAUAUGAGUCAUACCAAUGAUCUGUAUCCUUGCAGAUUGUAGCACCAAAAGGAUCAAACCCUGUCCAUUUAUGAGUAACCUAUACGACUCGUACCCAACCAUAUGACACUCUCCCUUAAGUCGUAUCCAUUCCAAUGACAAAAACCAUUCCACCAACUAAUACUAGUCAACUUAUGACAGUAUUUUACCACUCGUAUCCCCAGUAUACGGUUCAUAUAUGAGUCUUAUUGGGUCCGAAGAAAGGGAUUCCAAGAAUUUUUUCAAGUGUCCAAAUCGGGGAUACUUUAAUUUGGGAACUCCUACUCCAAUAACAAUGAGGCUCUUGAUGGAGGAUUGCUCUAUUAAUAAAUCGAUUGUAGUUUAGUAUAAUGUCUUGGUAAAGGUCGAUUGUUUUAUUUUGCCAGCAGACUUUGAUGUCAUUGACUGUGAAAUAGACCAAAAAAUACUUAUUAUUCUUGGGAUACCCUUUUUGUCAAUCGGGAGAGGAAUUGGUGAUAUCGAGAAAGGGGAAAUGAAAUUUUGAGUUCAAAAUUAUGAGGUUUCCUUUUAGGUGUGUAAAACUGAGAAACAACCAAUGGAGCUACAAGUGGUAUCCGUCAUUGAAGUACUGGACACAGAAGUGGAUGGUGGGUCCCUCAAGGAUCCAACUUAAAAGUUGAAAAACAUAAUGCCACAACUUUAAACUAGGCAUUGGAUAGGAGGCAACCUAUCAAUGCCACAAAAGUUGCCCAUAUCCUUUAAAUUUUGAUGGUUUUAUUUUUGUUUAUGAUUAAUCCAUGAAUUGUAGAGCUAUAAGGUGUUUUGAAUGAAUUUGAGAAAGAAGAAGUGUGGUGAAUUUAUGUAGUAGGCUAGACUUGGGGAAAUAGAGAACUAGAAACUGGCAUCAGGAAUCGUGAUCAUGAUACCUAUGCUAUUGCAAUUGUGAUCACCAUGUAAUUCUAAUUAUUAAUCUUUGAUCCCGAUUGUAGUCAUGACUGGGUUAAAUAACCAGUUGACCCAACAUUUUCCCCUACACUCCCUUUCAUAUUGCUCUUAAAUUGUACCCAUUUGUGAUUGUGAGUUUGGCACCCAAAAGUGCAUAAGCAUCCCCUCUACAUCUCUCAAUCUGGUAUGUUCUUCAAAUUCUCUCUUUUAUGAUCAUGUGUAGUCCUUAGAGCUCAUGUCUUAGGAAUUUCCUAAAAUUAAGUUUUGCAUGCUAAAUCCUUUGAUAAAAUAUGCUUGUUGGGGUGUUUAGCUGUUGUUAUUGGUGUAUUUAUUGAUGGGGAAGUAUUGAGUACCCUAAUUUGUUUAAAAAUGAUAGGAAUAGCAUGUGCACACCAAUUGUUCAAUUAAAUUUCCGAAAAAUUCCUUUAAUAGUUUUCACAUGUUCUAAGGGCAUGAUCGAACAUCUAGGGACUAUGUUUCUUGUUCAUAAUGUAAUUUUUUUUAUUUGGAGCACAAAUAGUCAUUGCAAUUGGAAGUUUUUAAUUUUGAAUUUGUCGAGCAUGCAUCACUUACCACGGUCACGGUUACAGGACCAAAAAAUCCUUCAAGUCCAUUUCUGAUACAAGCCUAAAGUGUAUAAGGAUUGCAAGGACUUCUCAAAGGAACAAGCUUCAGAUUUACAAGUACUAGAAGACCCUUUUGGAGACAUUACAAAGCCUUGUUCAAAUAAAGAGAGAAAGAGGGAUUCCUACAACACAUAGGCGCCUAUUCAUUAAGCACAUUCUUGUCUAUUAAUGACUUAUUUUUACACUCCAAAGGAGCACCCUUCAUUAAGGGUAUUUUGGUCAUUGGUUGUAAUAAGUAUAAAUAGACCCUUUAGCUUGUAUUUCCAUUAGACUUUGAUGAAAUUGGAUAUUAUUCUUAGGUUGUAUCUUUAGUCUUGUAGUUUUAACUCUCAAACCCGAAAUUGGUUCCUUGAAUACAUUUGAAGUUAUGGUUUCACUUGUAUUGGGAAAUUUGGCAAGAAAGGUGUGCUUGAGGAAGAGUGUUUCCUUUGGGUCACCUAAGAGAGUGGUUUGAUCAUACAUUGGUGAUGUGUGUUUAAAGGUUUGAUACACCUUCUAGUGCUAUUCAUUGGUAAAGAGGGAUUCCUACAACACAUAGGCGCCUAUUCAUUAAGCACAUUCUUGUCUAUUAAUGACUUAUUUUUACACUCCAAAGGAGCACCCUUCAUUAAGGGUAUUUUGGUCAUUGGUUGUAAUAAGUAUAAAUAGACCCUUUAGCUUGUAUUUCCAUUAGACUUUGAUGAAAUUGGAUAUUAUUCUUAGGUUGUAUCUUUAGUCUUGUAGUUUUAACUCUCAAACCCGAAAUUGGUUCCUUGAAUACAUUUGAAGUUAUGGUUUCACUUGUAUUGGGAAAUUUGGCAAGAAAGGUGUGCUUGAGGAAGAGUGUUUCCUUUGGGUCACCUAAGAGAGUGGUUUGAUCAUACAUUGGUGAUGUGUGUUUAAAGGUUUGAUACACCUUCUAGUGCUAUUCAUUGGUAGAAGUGAGGAUAUCUCUAUCUAUCUUUAAUUUCAUGCAAUUCUUCUUCUUCAUCUCCUUCUCGUGUGCUGUUUUUUCUUUGUGAACUUGCUGAUUUUUGUUCCUUUAGUGUCCAUUUCGUGUUUGAUAGUCCUUUAGGAUAUCAUUUAGGAGGAGAUAAAGGGUAGGCAAGGUGAUUCAAGGCUAGUUCACAGCCAAGAAGGAAGAGUUGGUCUUUAGAACCAACAAGGGAAAAAAAAUAGUGAUGUAGGUCUAAAUAUUAUCACGGUGGGGCUUCCAACAUUCAAAGGUGAGAGUGAUCCAGAAGAGUUUCUAUCUUGGGAGUCCGCUUGUGAGAGAAUCUUCCAAGUUAGUGACCUCACUGAGGAGAAAAAAAGUUGUUAUGCGAUUGGACAUUUUAAGGGUUAUGCUCUACGUGGUGGGAGUAUGUGAAGCGAUUUGGCAAUGUUUUGAUUAAGGGGCAGCCCCUCCUUGGUUUAGGUUAAGGUACCUCAUGAGACAAAGGUACUUACCCGAAAGUUACCAUCAAGAGCUCCUUGCUAAGUUGUAUAACUUGGGCGAAGGGAUCAAAAACAUCGUGGCUUACUAUGAUGAAUUCCAACAACUUAUUUUGAAACUUGAUCACCGAGGAGAGCAAGUACUCCAUGACAUCAUUCGAUUCAAGGUAGGGUUGAGUAGGGAUAUUACCUUACGGUUGACACUUCAUAAGUUUAACACCAUUGAUGCCAUCUUCCAAGACACCUUAGAAGCUGAGAAGGAAUUACGGGAGAAACCGAGUGUCAAUCUCAAAGGGCAAUCUCCCUCGGGUUGGCACAAAUAAAAAAAUGACCCAUCCAAUGUGUAGAAAACCAAGGACAAGGCAGGCCAAGGUGAAAAACAAGGCUCACCAAAGGUACCCUCCGAUAAAUAAAGGUAAACUGCAUUUCUCUUCUAGUUUUAAGGGCUUUCAAUGUUUUAAAUGCCAAGGUUGGGGACACAAGGCUAACGAGGGUCCAAAUAAGAGAAAUGUGAUCCUAAGGUAGGGAAAAUUGUACUUUAUUAGGGAGGAGUUGGGACUUGAGCCGAAGAAGAUUGAUGAUCAAUCUUAAGAUGGAGAGAAGGUAGAACCCGAGAAGCUAAAGGAGGGGGAUGAGGAAGAUGUUUGGCCAUGUGAAGGUAAGAUUGUAGUGACUAUGUUUAUGGCAAGGAAAGUCAGGUUUAGUGAUGGCAUAGAAGAAGAAUCCGAGAGUGAGGAGGAUGAAGAAGGACAGAAGCUGAGAGUUGGGAUUAUGGGAUUUUCCCACAAGGACUCUUUGUUGAUUAAUAACCCAGAUAUUAGCACUUUGCCUUGUAUCAAAUCUUCUUAAGGUUGUAGAACAUAUAAAUCCAAGGAGCAUGGUUGAUGAUCUUAUGGGACCCUUGGUUGAAUAUCCUAACCUUAGGAAGAGUAAUGAAGAGAUGAUGCAAAGAGGAGAGCUUUCCGGUGAUAAUUGCUUAAAUUUGAGGGGAAAUUCCUCUCAAGAUGGAGAGAAUGAUACAAGUGCAACUAUGAAGAUCAACAUGUGUAAAAGUCUGAAAAGGAUCAUCCUAGGAAGUGCAAUGUUGAGACGUGAGAAAGAUCAAAGACACACCAAAGCUGUCUUAUUUGUUCAUUUGUUACAUUAGAGGGGUGCCUUUUCAUUAAGGGUCUUUUGGGUAUUUCAUCUUUUAUGUAAUAAGGAGACUAUAUAUAGUUUAGUAUUAGGGAUUUUCAUUACUUAGUUAAUUAUUGUUGUAAGUAUUGACAUUUGAAACGCCAAAGUCCUCUCUCUACUUAAGGCAAACCAAAACUUGUAACUAGGAAAGCAAUUCAAGGGUGGAAUCUCUUGUGAUUGUUUGUUUUUGAGAAACCUUGGUGCUUGAGUGGUGGAAUCCUCUCUUGUGUCAUCGUAAUAUUUAGGUGAUCAUGUUUGGCGGUGUUAGGGGUCUUAGCAUUUUAUGUACUCUUUGGUUACUAGGAUUUACACCACCUUUGUCUAACUAUCUAUCCCUUUACUUUUGUUUUCAUCUUGUAGUAGUUAUGUCUUGUCUUCUUGUAAUAGUUGGUUGGUGUUAUUGUAAGCUUAUUAUUCAUCACAUUAAUGUAGUUUUGUUGCUAUUUUGGUGUGGUUAUACAAGUUAUUAUCUCUCCAUUCCUAAGCAUUCUCAGAUUUUCUUUUCAUUCUUGUGUUGUCAUUUGUGGCCGAGACUUGGUUCCUUGGGCUCUCGAUUUGUGGUGAAUUUUGUGAUGUUUUUGGGGACUAUUUUGUGUCUUCUUAGGGUUUUAAGGUAUUACAUGGCUAUGGACUAGAUUUGGGCCUAUACUAAUGUACUCAUUUGGGCCCAAAUUGAAUAAAAGAGGAAGAAAAUGGAUAAACAGCCCAACACACAAAUCUGACAAAGGCCCAAGUUAAUUGAGACCAAAAUAAGAAUUUAAGUAAGUAGGUUCAUCACCUAUUUUGAAAAUUUGAGCAGCUUGAACCCCUAAGUAGGUGCACCUACUUGGACCAAUUUUAAGGUCCAAAAUGUAGCUAAGGAGGUGGACAAAAUAGGGCCUUUGUAAGGCCAAGUUUCUGGUCAUUUUACUUCAUUUCUAAGUCACAAAAAAGAGUAUAUUUCACAAAAUCUCUCUACUCUCUCUAAAACAACAAGGAGCAUCCCUAAAAUUCCUUCUCAUGGAAGAUUAGGAAAACAUGCUAUAGGUGCCUAAUUAUAAAUACAUGGCAGAAUAUAGAACAAGUUACUUGCUCACCUUUUCUUUCGUUAUUAAGAGAUCUCUUUUCUUCUAUGGUUUAAAGUAUGAAGGAAAGUGAAAGUUGAACUUUUAAGGAUUUCAAAUUAAAAGAAUAAGUUGCAGAAUUGAGGUAAGGUGACUACUCCAUUUUGUUCUCCUUGUAUGUAAAUUUGAAAGAGAAUUAUGGAUGUGUUGUUAUUGAGAACUCAAGAGAUGAUGAGUUCAAUAAUUGAUUACUAUAAUAAAAGGGAUUUGAGGCUGUUUUGUGGACUAUUUUGUAUGUAUAUGUUAUGGGCUGCUAGGUUGAUGUUGGAGAAAGGUAUGAUUAGUUUGUAAUAAAAUAUAGAAGAAAGGUGUGACGGUACACCACCAAACCAAUUAUUGCAUUUGUUUACUGCCCAAUCAAUUUUGAGUAUUGUUUGGAAUGUGUAAUGAGGUCGAGGUGGUUUCGGUGAAUAUUAUAAGAACAUGUAUGGUAUGUGGGUGUAAUUGGAGGAGAAAAGGGUUAAAAUAACACCCUUGAUUGAUAGAUUAAUGGCUUACUGCCCGGUUACUAUUUUGGGUGAAGUUACGUAGCCUAAAUGUGUUAGUUGGUUGCUAAUACUAGUUUACCAUAUAUUCUAUUGUAUAUAAAUAAUCAAAAAGUUGGAAAGUCAAGUCGAGUUAGUUUCAGAGUUAUAUAACCAGAUAUGUAAGGCAUACUCUAUUUUUCACUCUUUGGCAUGAAAUCAGACAUUUGUUCCAUCAAGUAAGCUUCCAUGGUUAUCCUAUAACAAGUGAUACAUAAUAGUAGCACAUUACAUUCCAUGUAUCCAAUGACCUUGUUCCCACUCUCUAACAUGUUAAAACACCUCAAUACAUGUUUAUUAGUAAACCUACACAUCUAUCUUCACUAGAAAAUUUCAGGAGUUCUCCGUCUGUUCAAAUAAGACCCAUGUGUUAUUUUCAGCUCCUAAAUACUUUAUUUUUGCGCCAACAGCUCCCUACCUCAUUGUUGUUGCAUUAAGUGUCCAUUUAUAUGUCUCUUAUUAUCAUAUUAUUGGUUCAAGGUACCAUAAUAUUAUGACCACCAAAGUAACAAUCUCAAAGGCUUAAUAAACUAAGUAACGUAAAUCUGUAAAAUGAGUGGCAGCUCAGGGGCAUAAGCCUAACAUAGGACGAUCUCGAUACCUUUAUAUGGGUGGAAUCUAGGGGGCAUAAGCCUAUCAUGGGCAGAUCCUAAUCUUUAUAAGUAGGGGGCAGCUCAGGGGCGUAAGCCUAGCAUGGGCCGAUCCUAAUUUAUCUAUUUACCACUGAUUAGCUGGUCAUUUGCAUUAUAUAUGGCUUACAAAUAUUAUGAAGUAAGAAAGGUAAAAAUGAAGAAAGGAACGUAAUGUAUGUAGUCCCAAAAGUAUAUAUAAAGGUGGUCUACUAGUACUACUUACACACUUGUAUCUGAUUUCUAUUGAGCUCUUGUAUUAUGUGUUGUUACCUUCAGUCUUACAUGUUUAGUACAUAUUUUCGUACUGACGUCCCUCACGGGGGACCUGUAUUUCAUACUGUAGGCACAGGUACUUCAGCUCAUACACCUCGCUAGUAGGAGCGCAGUCUAUUUAGUAACUAUUGAUGAGCUCUAGUGAUAUGGGUGCAGCAAACUGUCCAAUAAGUUCAUGACCAUUCACACGUAGCCAAGCUCGGGAGUUACAAAAACUCUAAGCCUUGUGAGCAAAUGGCCAUUUGUGAUUUGGUAAUUGAUCCACCUAAUGGUCUAAAUGCUUUUAAGUGUCGAGAGGGGCCUUGAAGUGUACUAAACUUACACUCCAAGGCCACCCCAUGGAAAGGGUAAUCUGGUCAUUUAUUAGACAAUAUUAGGGUUAUUUCUUGUAAUAUUGAGGAACUUCUCACUCUUCCAUUGGAGAAUCCCCAAAUCUGAAAACUCACAGGUAGAGUGAUACUUGUGUUGUAUCUUGGCUAGAAACAAGGAUCUUGGGGUCAUAGAGUUCCUAUUGGUCCAAGUAAGAACUUGGUGUUAAUAUUCAGUCUUAGGGUCCUCUCUUGUUGUUAGGUUUUUUAGACUCUUGAAUAUUUCAUGUCAAGUUAUCUUCUUGUAAUCUUGUUAAGAUUGUGUUUUGUAAUGUUGAAGUCUAGCAAAGCCGUGUGGGGCUCUUUUUAUUCACUAUCACCUUGUUUACUUUCUGGUUAUUGUUGAAAAAUUCAUCAUCUUGUUCUAAGAUUCUUAAAGCCUAGUGAAGCCGUGUGUGGCCUAUUUCGAUUCACUAGCACUUAUUGUUCAACUUGUUGUUUUUGGUGUUAGUUUGUUCAUCUUGUUGUUCUUGCUGGAUUCUUGCAUUGUGGACUUGAUAUUGUAUCAUUUGGUAUAAAAUAAAGGCUGGUUGUGUUCCUACACUACCAAUCUUUGGCUCUCUUGGACGAAAAUUCAAAAAAUAAAUUAUUGAAAUCUGAAAAUUCCAGAAAAAAGAAAAAGAGAAAUCUGUCCAUCUUGUUGUCUUGGCCAAGAUUGGUGUUUGUGUGUUUAGAUCUAGGUGUUAUUAGUGUGUUUCUAGUGUUGGUUUCUUUCUCACCAACACUAAAAGUGUGUAGAUCUAAAGUUGAGCUUAUAAUAUUGGCCGUUGUUGUGGCAACUUGAAGUGGGCUGUAGGUUGUACCUUGUUGAUGACAAUUGGUGGUUUUGUGUUGUGUUCUUGAAGAAGUUGAUAUUGUGUUCUUGAAGAUUUUUGUGGUGUUAAUCUUGUUCUUCAUGUAUUCUUAAAACUUAAGACUACAAAGGUGUAGAAUAGAUCCAAAAGGUUGUAAGACAAAAGUUAUAAAGUUGUUGGUGAGAAGACUUGCACACAUCACUUCCUAGACUUGACAACCACUUUUCCUUAAAUCAAAGGACCUUGUUUUGUGGGAUUAGUAUAGUCAAAUCUCACCUUUUUGUGUUUAAAAAGUUAAAAAGAGUACAAGACUUUUACUUUCCCUCCAAAAUCAAUUGUAAUCCAUUACAAGUUGUGUGAACAUUGAAAUUUCAGAUUUAUGAAAAAAAAUUGUUGUGUGGGACCAAGACCAAUUACAUGCUACCACGUCAUUAAUAAGCUCAAAUUUUGAUAUUUUCUAGUUUCUAAUUGUUGAUUCUUAGUUUCCUUACUUGGUUCUAGAACUAAUUAACAAACUAGUACAUUCCUACUAGGUUGUCAAUUAGUCCUUUGAAUCCGUUUGUUAGUGUCAACGAUCACUAGGGUGCGUUUAUCUUUUGAAUACGUUGCUACUUCUUGGUUCUAGUCCAACUAGAAUUCUUUGAGUCUUCAAAAAUGAAUCCACUCGGGAUAAGAGCUUACUCAUACCUUAAGGAUUGACGGGUUACUAGCCAAUCUACAACACUUGUGGAACUAAAGUGUAAGGUGAUCCAAAGAGUGUAAGUGAGGAGAGGGUUUUUUUUCACUAACUUGUUUGCUGAUUUUGUAGGUAAUACCUUGACAAUGGAGGGGACUACUUCCCAAAAUAUGGAUACUAAUGCUCUUGACUCUAUGAGAGCCACUCUUGAGGCCGUUACCCGAACACUUGAAAGGUUGAAUACGGAAGUUGGAGAUGUGGGAGGGGAUUUGACAACAAUAAAGGGAAAUGUGUCGGCUAUUAGCGGGAGAUUAGAACAAGUGGAGAGUCAAAGGAACUCUCGCCGUUCUACUCCUCUACAUGUUUCUUCAAGUGGGAAUGAUAGAACUUCAUCCGCAACCAUCACUCACGAAACAGUGCACCAAAUGAUAAAUCCACCCCAAGCUCUACUAAAUGCCGCAAGCCAAAUGACUCCUUUCCCUCCAAACCUCAUCCCCACUAGACCAAUACAUUUCCAAACUCCUCAAGUUCCACAAGAGGGACUUGGAAGUCACUUACCUCUGCUAAAUCCGAACCCUCCCUUCCAAGCUCUAUUAAACCAAAGACCACCACCUCCACAAAAUCCAAUUUCUCCAAAUCAAGUUCAAAAUAUCCAAAACCAUCCAUCCUACUUUGAGGAAUAUAGUAGAGAGGGAUAUGAAAGAUAUGGAGCAUUUGAGGAUGCUUACAUGAGGGAGGAAGAGAUGAGAGGGGAUCGUGGAGAUCAAAGGAGAUAUCGAGGGUAUGGAGAAAGGGGAAACCGACACCAAGAGAGAGAUGUAGGAAUCAACACCAUCAAGUUGAGCCUACCAAUCUUUAAAGGUGAAAGUGACCCCGAGGUCUACUUAGCUUGAGAAACGACUUGUGACAAAGUUUUCCAGGUUAAUGAUAUCUCGGAAGAAAAGAAAAGUUUUUAUGCCAUAGCGCAUUUUGAGGUUUAUGCUAACACUUGGUGGGAGUACGUCAAGUGGUUUGAUAAUAAAUUAGUUGAUGGGCAGCCACCACCUUGAUUUCGGUUGAGGUAAUUGAUGAGACAACGGUACCUUCCCGAGAGUUAUAGCCAUGAGUUGUUUGCUGGAUUGUACAACUUAUACGGGAAAAAAAGAGGAGCACAAAACACACUCCAAAUAGUCCACAAAUCACAAGAUCCGAGGACCUAUUGGAGACCAACUCUUGGAUUCAACAAAUAUAACGAGAAUACAAGAUACAAGAGUGUAUUCUAACACCCAAACAGAUACAAAAACAUGAUGAACAAGAUGACAACAAAAACAAUUAGAUUUGGAUUCCGCAAUAACAAGAUACAAAAAGGAUAGUAACUUGACAUACAAUAUUCACAAAUCUAAGAACCCUAACAAUGAGAACGGAUCCUAGGACAAAUGAAUAGCAACAUCAAGUUCUUAAUUGGACCAAGAGGGACUCAUGAACCUCAAGACCUAAGUUUCAAAGUAAACAAACAACAAAAGUGAUUCCACCCUCUUGUUGUUACCUAGUUUUAAGUUUGGAUUUGCCUCAAGGAAAGAGGAUUUUGUCUUUCUAUGUUAUACAAUAUUCAUAUUCAUCAAAAGCUAAUGAAUGAAACCCUAAAAGGUUCUAUUUAUAGAUAUUAAAAAAAUAGUGUGAAAUGUCCAUAAUAGCCCUUCAAGAGUGGGCUACCCCUUUAGUGUUUGUAGUGGGCUGGUUUUUGGUCCUUUAAUUACGCUUCUCUUGCAUACACACUUGGACGACUUCAAUACACACCCACAAGAGUCCAUCUAUAUGAUCUCACUCGUAUCAUCCUCCCCUUCUUGAAAAGGAUUCGACCUCGAAUCCGUACCUCGCAAAAUUAAGAGAAGACAAUAAGAUCACAUCCUCAAGAUAUGAGGGGUUAGGGUUAGCAAAAUACACAUAUCACAUUCCAUGCUGAGGGGGGGGGGAUAAACUUGGAGUAUAUCCACGAGUCCUUUAGGUUGAAUAUAAACAGCUUAGUAUAAAAGACAUAAGGAAGCGGUCAUCAUCAAUAAAAAGAUAUAAGGAAGAACUUUGCUUUCCUUCAUUAGCACCCACAUUCAAACAUUGCUUGUCGUCUUGACCAAGCAUUAAGUGGGGAUUGUAGAGAUUUACACAUUCCAAGAGGGUGCCGGGAUCAAAUGGAAAAAUUAGCCAAGGGCCUAAGCUGAUGCUAUCCUUUUCUUCCCCUAGAAUGUCAGUCCCACAUUUACACACAAAAAUAUUUUCAUACACAUAGUCUCUAUGAACAAAAAUAAUUGCAAUGCUUUUACCACACAAGAUGUUCAAAGAGUCAUGUGCAUUAUCAAGAUCAAUUCUAUAGACAUCAUCACUAACUUGAGAACUUUUAAGCAUAGUAUUCACAUGCUCAAGUAGUGAACUACAUUUAAGAGUAAAUUGAUCAUCAUACACACCAAGAGUACUACUAAGAGUACUCAUUUCGGAGACUACACAUUCCUUUCCCAUAAGAGUACUCUCAUCUUCCAAAAAGAGAUUUCCAUCUUGAGGAGAAAUGUUGUCACACCAUAGUGAGUGAGCACAUAAGCUAUAGCUUCCAAGACAUUCCAUGCCAUCAACAUCACUUGCACCACUAGGUUCAUUAGGAGUAAAUAAACUAUCGUCAAACAAGACAUUAUGCCUAAAGAGUGAAUGAUUUAACCCGCGGACAGAUUUGGAACUUUCACUCUCUAAGGAAUCGUUAUCAAGUUUCAAAGAUAUGUCAAGCACAUGAUUAACCCUAUGAUCUAAGCAAACAUUAGCAUCUUUACUGUCAAUAUAGGCUCAUAGGUUCACUCUCUUUUCCUUGGCCAACAUCUUUAAAUCCUUCACUCACUUGAGAUUCAUUAAUCACAUCACAUAUAUCCUCAAGUGGUGGGCAGGUUUUACUCACAAGUUGGGCAGAAACUUCCUCCAGGAAGCUCUCAACGCAAGGUGCUUGGACAAUUGGAUUUUGUGGGUAGAGUUUGGGUAGCAAUUGACAUAUAAUUUCAAUGUUUCGUUUCAUAUCUUCAAUAUGACAUAUGAUCACAUGUGGCAUUGAAAUUAUGGGAAGCCAUUGUACCUAACAAAUAAACACAACAAACAAAGAAAACAAACAAACUUGUUAGCUCAAAAAUGUCUCACCACACUCUCACUCUCGAUUUUUACCUCAAACUUGAUUUCACAAGUGUUGAAAGUCGGCUUGUACUUCGUGAGUGAUUGAGGAUCGAGUUUACUCUUGUCCCGAAAUAGAUUUUUUGUUUGAAACUCAAACAAAAUCUUGUAGGACUUGAGUCAAGAACUAACAAUGAAUUCAAAAGAUAAAAGUACACAACAAACAUAAACACGAACAAACGGACACAAAACUAACUUACAAUCUAGUAGGAGUUUACUAGCUUGUCAAUUAGCGUUCGGACCAAUCAAACAAAACUACGAAACAAUAAAAAGAAACUAAGAAAAUCUCAAAUUUGAGAUAAAAUUGUUGCAUGAACAGUAACAAUGAUGACGUGGCAGCACAUAAUUGGUUGCGGUUUCUAACAAUUUUUUAAUUUCACAAUUUGGACUUUGGUGGAAAUUGUUCAAUGGAGGAAAAUACAAACUAGUCUUUGGAGAUCCUUUUUCAAUUCAAAUUUCAAGACUUAAAAGUCUUUGACUAGACUUGUACUCCUUAAAACAUGAACCUUGUUUUAUGGAAAAGGUUGAGAUGUGAUGUAAAGUCUUUUUGGUGGUUGGGGGUCUUUCAAGAUUCAACAAAUACUACACCUUGUCUUUCACCUUUUUAAGAUCUAAGUUCACUUUAAUAUUAACAAGGUGAUGAAUAUGGUGAAGAACUUCAAGAACACAACAACCACAACAAGAACAACAACAAUCUCUCAAGAAAAAAACAAGUCCAGCAAAACAAGGUCAACAAUCUCAUGGCUAAGACCACAUGGGUAGCAACAAAAAUCGACUAAGUCCCCUUUGUAUUAUGUUUUCGAUUUUACAAAAGGUGGAGGGUGUUAUAAACAACAAGAAUACAACAACCUUUCAAUAUCUACAACACCACCACAACACAAGGCCUUCAACUCAGUCAAGGCUAGAACAACAACAACAUCCAAUCGGCCACACUUUGUUCAUAACAACAAUAUUAACAAUUCAAGCUCAAGUUUGGAUCGACUCAAACUGUUAGUGAGGAACAAAACUAACACACAAGACAAGUAAAAUACUCCUAGACCUAGACUCAAAAACAAAUCUCGUCCAAGAACACCACAAGAACACAAUUUCGGCCAAGACAACAACAAUGGAUAGAUUGCAAUUUUUUUUUCUGAAAUUUUCAGCUUUUCAACAACUUUUUUUUUUAAGUUUCUAACAAGGAAGCCCAAGAUUGAUCUUCUAGGAACAAGAUCAAUCCAUGCUUUGAUACCAAAUGAUAUGGGAAAAAUAACAAGAACACAAAACACACUCCAAACAGUCCACAAAUCACAAGAUCCGAGGACCUAUUGGAGACCAACUCUUGGAUUCAACAAAUAAAACAAGAAUACAAGAUACAAGAGUGUAUUCUAACACCCAAACAGAUACAAAAACAUGAUGAACAAGAUGACAACAAAAAUAAUCAGAUUUGGAUUCCGCAAUAACAAGAUACAAAAAGGAUAGUAACUUGACAUACAAUAUUCACAAAUCUAAGAACCCUAACAAUGAUAAAGGAUGAAUAGCAAAAUCAAGUUCUAACUUGGACCAAGAGGGACUCAUGAACCUCAAGACCUAAGUUUCCAAGCAAACAAACAACAAAAGUGAUUCCACCCUCUUGUAGUUACCUAGUUCUAAGUUUGGAAUUGCCUCAAGGAAAGAGGACUUUGUCUUUCUAUGUUAUACAAUAUUCAUAUUCAUCAAAAUCUAAUGAAUGAAACCCUAAAAAUUUCUAUUUAUAGAUAUUACAAAAAUAGUGUGAAAUGUCCAUAAUAGCCCUUAAGAGUGGGUUGCCUCUUUAGUGUUUGUAGUGGGCUAUUUUUUGGUGUGUAUUUGGGCCCUUAAGUAUGCUUCUCUUGCACACACACUUAGACUACUUCAAUACACACCCACAAGAGUCCAUCUACGUGAUCUCACUCGUAUCAUCAAUGAUACGGGAGAUACAAGAGAAGGCACAAAAACUACUUAAAACAGUCCACAUAUCAACAAGAACCUGAGGACCCCUUUGAGAGAAACUUUCGGCCAACAAUAACAACACAAGGAUUACAAGAUACAAGGUGUAUUUUAACACCAAAACAGCAACAAUGACACAAGAUGAAACAAGACACGGUUUCAACACAAACACAAGGGAAAUUGCAUAAAAAAUAAAGAUAGAUAGUGAGACCAAGAUUAAUACAAGAUUAAGAACCAAGUGUAUUUCAACACUAACCCCAAAUGAAUGUAACAAUCAAAACCACACUCUUACGGUGACCACCAAGGGAGACCUAACCUCAAGAUCUACCGUUUCCAAGCAAAGAUCAAUAUUGGCUUUUCCAAGCCCUAUGCUAAGAAUGGGUUUUCCAAGCCCUACAACUAAGGGUGUUACACUCUUAAAAGAGAGAAAAUAUGUCUUUCAAUUCUUCAUCAUUCAAAAUAUAGUGAAAAUAAGACUAAGGGGGCCUAUUUAUAAUAUAUUACAAAUGAAGAUAAAAAGACCACUUUGCCCUUAAUGAGAGGGACGGCCAUGGUGUGUAAAUACACCAUGUGUAAUAUCCAAAAUUCCCUUAAUUAAGGUCUAAAACCGUGAGUCCUCAACCUUAAAUGCUCCAAGAAAUCUUCCACAUGCGAGAUUACUUUAAGUUAUGCUCAAAACGAGUCCUUCAUGCAUGUUCUUGUAUUCUCAAGGUGACCAAGUCAUGAGCCUCUAUGUGUUGCCCUCCAAAGAUGUCAUCAAAAGAUAAGAUGGCCAUUUAUCCCGUAUCAUUCUCCCCUUCUUCAAAAGGAUUCGACCUUGAAUCCAAAUCUUGAAAAACCGAAUAGAGGACAAACAAAUACAAACUCCUCAUGGCAUGAGGGUUAGGGUUAGCAUAAAAAAAUCAUCUCAACAUGCCAAGGUUGCACAUAUUUGCAAUAUAACCAAGAAUCCUUUGAAAGAAAGAGUAAAAACUCAAUAAAAAAUGUACAAAGGAUUUGGUUAUAGGAUACAUCAAGGGUGACACUUUGCUUGUCAUGUAGACCAAGUAUCAAGUUUGGUGCACCAACAUCACCAUUUCUAAAUUUGGCACCGGGGUCAAAUUUAAAAAGUGGCUAUAGAUACGGGUCUCGACAACACUUCCCUUUCUCGUGGUCUACACCCAAACUAAAUAACAUACUCUCUACAAUAGCAUAUAUAUCAUCCAAAGUAAAUAGACAGUAGGGAAAAUCGACUUCUACUAAGGUGUUCUCAUGUGUGUACUCACUACUAGUUUCCCAAUAAUCACCAUGAGUACUCUCAAACAAUGAAACACACAAAGUAGAAGAAGAAGUAGCUUCCGCAACUACACAUUCCUUACCCUUAAGAGUACUCUCAUCUUCCAAGAAGAGAUUUCCCUCUUUAGGAGGAAUGUUGUCACACUAUAGUACGUUAGCAUAUUGGCUAUAGCUUCCAAGGCAAACUAUACCAUCAUUUUCACCACUAGGUUCAUUAGGAGUGUUUAAUUCAUUUUCAAACAAGACAUUAUACCUAAAAAAAAGUGUGAUCUACCUCACGGACAGAUUUGGAACAAGCAAGUUCCUAACUCUCUAAAUGAUCAAUAUCAAGUUUCAAGGAUGUUUCAAACAUAAUAUUACCCCAAGAAGAUCUCUCGGGUUCAUUCUCGCUAUGAUCAAUAUUUUAAACAUCAUCACACACUUGAGGUUCAUUAAUUACAUCAUACACAUCCUCAAGUGGUGGGUAAUUUUCACACAUAAGUUGAUCAACACAAAUUUUAGAAGAUAAUGUACUUUCAUUCAACAUAAUGGUUUCAACACUAGGUGGACAUAAAUCGAUCUUACAAGAAGAGUCGAUUCAGUCAUCAAUAGGAUCAACUAGUGUAUCCAUACUCACAACAUGUACUAAUCAUCAAGUGGCAAAGAAACAAUAGACUCACAUAUAGGCAAGCUACAACUCACACCCAAUGGGCUGCUAGCCACACAAUUAUCAUUCACAUGCACAAAAGUGUAAGACUUAGCCAUUUUACCUUGAAGUCCUUAAGUAGAUUCUUCUUUGUCAUGGUGUGAAGGUCCUCCAAAAGCUUGGGCAGAAACUUCUUUUUGGCAUUGUUCUUCUUCGCUUUCCAUGUUUGUACCUACACAAAUGUACUUAGAAAUAGAAGGAGAACCAAUGUUAUCAUGGUUUGGUGGUAAUCCCCUCACUUUGCUCCACACAACCUCUUCUUUUUCCACUCUCGGAUUACCACCUUGCACUCCCUUACUCCUCUUAAUCUUUUGUCUCUCAUAAU